rnacentral:lncRNA from 1 species
GAACAUAAGUUAUCGUGUGUAAUAAUAAUUUUUGGAUUGCAUGUAUAUGAUCCAAGAAAACAAAAGGUUUUGAUGUUCUCAAAUAUUGGGUUUCUAGAGAAAGGAUCAUAGACUGAAAGUCUAGAUCAAAUGUCAGCAUGGAAAGAAAGUCACAUACCAUGCAGUCAUAACUCGUCCUGAAUGAGAUCUUCUUGUUUAAUUAUUAAACCAAUGGGAAAACUCAGUCUUUCAAGCUUAAGAAUGCCAAAACCUUAAAGAGAUUCAUGCUAUACAAUAUUAUAGUACAACAUAAAGUUUGACAAAUGUGUUUCUGAUAAGGCCGCUGCCGAUCUCUUUGAAGAGACAAAAACGCAAUCUCUGAAUGAUGUAUAUGGUAGAAAACACUCUUGAGAUAGCAAUUUACAGGAUAUACUAGAAAAGUAUACCAUCAAAAUAUCAUGACUUGCUGGAAUAGGCCAGAGUGAGGAGUAGACUUAUCAGAUGGUGCCUGUUGAUGAACUUGCUUUCUGAAUCUGUUACACAACAUUGACUGAGAUGAAUAUAUGACAUAAAAGAACAACAUCAAUAUGAAGGAAUAAUGGUGCUAGAGCAGAGUAUAAGACCUGAUUCACAAGCAAGUUUAUCUGCUCUCUAUACAUUUCUUUCAAGUCCACAAUAUCAGCACGGAGUUCUUCCAGCUGCACAAAUAUAACCACUUUCAAAUGUCGAGCAUUGAUAGAAAACAAAAAACACCAUUUUUAUUCCAUUGUUCACAAAGAAGGUAGAAGGAAAUAAAAAAUUUUCUUUUCCUCUCUCUGCUCCACUUCAGUUGUGAGCAUGUGAUUUCUUGAUUACUAAGUAUCCUGUUCCAUAAAACACACUUCGUCCCAUUUCACCUGUCUAAAGUUUUACUUUAAGCUCCCAUGAACAGAUAAAACAAAGGAAAAGAAAUGAGAACUUAGGAAUCUCAUUAUGGGAUGGGGUUGGAUUGGCUGUUGUAAGAUUCAGAAAGGUCUCUUUCAUUUUACCACAAUUUAUUGGCAAUUAGACAAAGCACAAGUUUUGGGAACUCACUCCACCUUAACCAUCCAACUCUCUUUCAAUAAUGAAUAUCCUCAUCAAUUUAACCCUCAUUUGUUGUACUCUCUCUCUCUCUCUCUCUCUCUCUCUCUCCCUGGCUGACUCCAUGCCCUAUAAAAAUAUUCCAUCCAUAUUCCUUUGGCAACCAUCCAUGAAAUUUCCAAAUAGAAUGAGGCAUAAUUCACAAGACUGCCCACGUCAACGUGGCAAACUAUGAGUGUGGCUGAUAAGGUACAAGCCAAGGGACUGUUGGAUUAAAACAGAGAUCACCAUGCUUCAGAAGCCAAAGCCCAUGCUACCUCUCCUUUGCUGACCCUAGCCUAAGCAGUCAUUUCCGUGGCAGCUCCCACUCUAGCUUUAGGUAGUCCUUUUCUCUAGCUUUUGACAAGGUUCCUCUCUAUACUCCAGGUAGCCUUCUCCGUGAGAAGUUCUUUCUGUGAGUCAACUGAUUUCAAUACCCUAUGUUAUGAACUUGAUCAUUAUGACAAACCCUUUUAGAACUACAGAAAUGCACAAAUCAAAGCCCUAGAAUUUUUUAGGAUCAUAGUAACACCAGAAAUGAAACAAGUUAAUGAAGGAUUUCCACAUAGUUGUCACAUCAUAACCAAGUUUCUAUGGAACCUGUGUCUCACAAGUGGGUAACCCAUGAAGCCCAACUAUUUACUUAUAGCAUAAUUUGGCUACAUGUGAGGCAUCAGUUGUUUUGCAAUGAGGGAUAAAAUGUGUCAUCUUAAAAAACUUAUCAGCCACAACAAAAAUGGAAUCAUGUCCUAGAGCUGUUUUCAACAAUCCAAGGUUAAAAUCCACACUAAGGUCUCUCCGAAGGGUGUGUGGUAUAGGCAAAGGUGUGUACAACCCAGUGUUUCUCUUCUUUACCUUAGCCAGCCGACAAGUUCAACAUUGCAACACAAUUUUAGCAAUAUCUCUUUCCAAGGAAGACUGAUAAAACUUAUCCUCCACCAAGUGACCAGCUAGACCUCUGCUAUACAACUCCUAAAUCAAGAAAUCUUGAAUAGAAGAACAAGGAAUGCAUGCUUUGUACCCUCUAAAAAAGUAGUCAACACAGAUGAUAAAAUCAAUGUGACCUCAAGAAUGACCAUCUUGAAUUUCUUGAUAGAUGACACCAAAAUCAGAAUAAGUAAGAUUACUCGUCCUUCAUCUUCUCAAAUCUAAACCACAUGACCACUCAAUCUAUAAAUAGGCUACUACUUGACUAACGCCUUCAACAACUUUAUUCUCAGUUCUUGCAUGAUGGUGGAGAACAAAUGUGUUUUGUUGAAGAAACUACAUCCACCUUGCCUGUUUAGGUGCUAACUUUAUUUGAGAACUGAGAUACCUUAAUGGUUGAUGGUCAAAGUAUAACAUAAUCUCUUGAGAUAAUAGAUAAUACCUCUAAUGACCAAGUGCUCACACAACAGUAUAGAACUCUUCAUCAUAAGUGGAAUAUCUUUGCUUACCUCAUUGAGUUUCUCACUAAAGUAUGCUAUUGGACAACUUUCUUGACUUAAGAUACCAGCUAUGCCAACACUUGAUGCAUCGCAUGUUGCCUCAAAAACUUUUGAAAAAAUCGAAUGGCUUAAGACAGGUGAUUUAGCUUUUUUGCAUUCUAUCUCCCCAAACCUUACUUUAUUCCAAUGAAACUCCCUUUUUAUCAUGCUAUCAAUAAUGAAAGUCAUUAUCAUACAAAAUUCCGUAAUAAAUUGCUUAUAAAUGAGACCAUGAAAGUCAUCAUAGCUCAAGUAGGGGUCAAAAAAGAAACACUGAAAACCCCAAAUGAUAACCUUUGGAUCUUGAAUGUGACAAAAGCAAACAUCUUUUACAAGUUGCAAUACAUGCUUAUAAAGAACUCCUCUCAUUUGAAGGCUUUGCAAGGUUUCCUUUGGAAUAAAAGGAUUUGAUACAGUAAGGUUUUGAUCCUUUUCUUUUUUUGGUAUCAUGAUAUUUGCAGAAGUGUAUGGGUGAACUUUUCAGUAUGGAUUUUUGCCAACAAUUUGGUACAAUUGGUGUAUAUGUACUUAAAGAUUUUUGUAUUGAUGAAUUGUUACUAUUAUUUGUUAGAAUGCAUAUAUGAAAAAUAUCAUUCCACUCUAGUACUAUAGAGAAUAUCACAGAUGAUAGAAAUCAAAUAUAACUAUUAAGUUUUAAAACAUUUCACCUUUUCCCUCUCCUUAUGUUUACACCCCGAACUAUGAACCUCGUCAUUCUAUCAAGUGUCCCUCAUUCUUCUUCACAUAUUUAUAUAGCUACCAUGGAUAAUCUUCACAAACCCAUUUCCUUCCUAUGUCUUUUCCCCCUCAUGACUUAGAAUAUUUAUAGAGAUACUCAUAAUAAAUUUUUGAUUUUGUAAGGAGAUGUAAUAUUUCAAUGACACAUGCAUCAAUAUGGAAAAUAUUAUCUAUAAUAUUAUUCUUUAUAAAAAAUAUAUAAGCACACACUAGUUAGGAAUUUAAGACAGUUUUGCAAGAAGGUAUAUGCCUAAAUCCAAUGCAACAUAAUGGCAAGAAACAUAGAAAGUUUGAAAUUGCACUAAUUAUUAGUUCACAUACCAUGAGCAGAACUAAAUUGCAGGAGACAUUAAAAUUUAAGAUUACAACUUGAAUAGUCUCGGCAAAAGGUUUCACCCUUUCACUUGGUAUCUAUUCUUUAUUUAUUAUAUCGGUUCAAGUACCCGAUUAUUCCAUCAAUACUCAUGGAGUGUGCUCAUGGUCCACCCAUGAGGACAGGAUCACUUAUCGAUUUCUUUCUUAAUAAAUCUGCAAAGGCUGGCCCUAGAGACAUGUGAUACCACCAUUGUCUUAGUCCAUGAGCCUCCAAAAUACUGCAUGAGGAUGAGCUCUCGCUAAUGGUUAGAUAUGCUUUAGGAAGUAGCUGUGUGGAUAGUUGUGGAUCCAUCCCAACUGCAGCUUUUAAUACACCUAAUGUUGGCUGCAGUACAGCAACCCUCCCUAUCAUCCCAGCUCCAAACUGCUUCUCCACAUUGUUCCUAUUUCUAAAAUGCCCUAUAUACUCUGAGCAAAUAGGAUCGUGUCGGUUCACAAACAGGUUGGGGAUCCAAGAAGACAAUGCAUUAAAUUGGUCAUAUUGUCCCUGUUGGUAUAAAAUUAAAUACUUAUACAGAAUAUAUAUUUUUGGGCUGUUGGAACUCUGAUUUUAUUGAUGCAGAAUGCUGAAUUUAUACAUGAACUUGUAACUUAAAUGACAUUAGAAUAGCAGAAAAUCAAGCUACUAGAUGAUGAACAACUACUUCCUAUAAAAUAGAAACCAAAUCUUGACCAAAUAAAAAUAAGAAAAUAUCUAGAUGUUGCAGAUUUUGUGCAAGACUCCAACUGCAAUAUUCAAAAUUCAAAUUCCAGCAAAUACUAAGUCAAAAUUCAACACUCCUCCUUGACUUCGUAGAUGCAAACUCCAAGUCUUGCACGUAGACACUCAAACCAAACUUCGAAAGGGGUCUGCUUCUUUAACACUUUUGUUGGUAAUAUGUUCAGAAAAUAUACUGCUCUACUUGCAGUUUUAGCCCAAAAUUGUUUGCAUUCCAUUUCAAGGAUGGCAUUUUUUGAGAUCCACCAAACAUUGUUUGCAUUCCAUUUCAAGGAUGGCAUUUUUUGAGAUCCACCAACAUCAGUAUGCACCAGUUGCAGUUUUUGAGUUGCUCUCCAGGAUAUUUUCUUUGGAAAGGGAAGUUUAGUUUGCUUCCCAUAUUGACAAGUAGCACAUAUAGGAAGAUCUUUUUCUAAGUCAAGAAGUCCUUUAACUAUUUGAUUUUUCUUCAUGUAGAGCACAUCAUCAUGAUGAAAGUGCUCGACCCUUCUGUCCCAAAACAUUGUUGUGCUAUCUUGUUGUAAAAUAGCAGUAUGCUCAUCUUCCAGUAAAUUCAAGGCAAAACUCUUGCCCUUCAUUUUUAUGUUGAACACCUCUUUGCCUUCAGCAUCCUUGAUAAUGCAAUUCCUAUCUUCAAAAUAAACUUUAAAUUCUUUCUCAACGAGCUGUCCAACACUGAGUAAGUUUUGGUCAAUGUCAGGCACAAACAAAACAUCAUAAAUGAGUUUCAAACCUGUUUGGCUUUCGAUAGCAACCGUUCCUUUGCCCUUCACUGGAAUAUACUCACCAUUUCCAAUUCUGACUUUGGAAAUAGUUGUUCUAUCAAGUUCUCUAAAGAGAUCUUGAUUAUUUGUCAUGUGAUUUGUACAACCACUAUCCACAAGCCAGCUUUCAGAGGUGCUUUUAUUAGCAAAACACGUUGCUGCAAACAAUUGCUCCUCCUGACAAUAGUCAACUACUGCAUUAGUUUCUUCCUGCUGUUGAUUUUUGCAAAUCCUCUCCACAUGUCCUUGUUUACCACACUUGUUGCAUUUCACAUCUGGUCUCCACCAACAUUUUUGUGGAGAAUGAUUUGUCUUCUUGCAAUGAGGACAAGGUGGAAAAACUCCAUUUUUCUGGUUGUUGCUGCAUGACUUGUUGUUGUUCACCUUUCCAUUUUUAUGGCCUGCAUUUUUCUGCAUUCUUGCUUGAAAUGCUCCUUCUGCAGUAUCUCCUUGUCUCAUGAGUCUUCUUUGUUCCACAGCCUCCAAGGAAUGUAAUAAUUCUGUCAAGCUAAUAGUUGACAGAUCUUUUGAAUUCUCCAAAGAGGAAAUUGUAGCUUCAUAUUUCUCAGGAAGUGUAACCAAUAUCUUUUGAACAAUCUUCUCAUUGGAAAAUUCUUUUCCAAGCAGCCUAACUUUGUCUGCUAUUGAAAGAAGUUGUGCAGCAUAGUCUUUAACAGCAUCAGACUCCCUCAUUUUCUUCAUUUCAAAUUCUCGAAUCAAGUUCAUCACCUGCAUGUUCUUGAUUCUUUCAUCUCCUUUGUAUUCCUCCUUGAGAUACUCCUAAAUUUCUGCAGCUGAAUCAAUUUUCAUGAUUUUGAUGAAAAUUGAUGGUGAAACUGCAGCAAACAAGCAAGCUUUCGCUUUAGCCUUUCUUGUCCUUCUUUCUUUAUGCAACUUCAUUUGAGCCACAGUUGGAUUGGCUCCUAGGGGAGGAACUUCAUAAUUUUCUUCCACUGCUUCCCAAACAUCAAGUGCUUGUAGAUGAACUGUCAUUCUAACAGCCCAAGUUUCAUAAUUGUCUCCAUCAAGAAUUGAUGGUGCAACUGUGAGACUUGACUCUUCCAUUGCUAUAUGAUUUUAGAAGGUGUUUAGGUUCACUCACCUCACUGGCCCCUCAAGAUAACUAUGGCUUUGAUACCACUUUGUUGGUAUAAAAUUAAACACUUAUACAGAAUAUAUAUUUUUGGGCUGCUGGAACUCUGAUUUUAUUGAUGCAGAAUGCUGAAUUUAUACAUGAACUUGUAACUUAAAUGACAUUAGAAUAGCAGAAAAUCAAGCUACUAGAUGAUGAACAACUACUUCCUAUAAAAUAGAAACCAAAUCUUGACCAAAUAAAAAUAAGAAAAUAUCUAGAUGUUGCAGAUUUUGUGCAAGACUCCAACUGCAAUAUUCAAAAUUCAAAUUCCAGCAAAUACUAAGUCAAAAUUCAACAGUCCCUGCCUCACAUGACCACCUCCAACAAAUAAUGUCCCAAAAUUACACAAAGUCUCCGUCAAGCGCAUUGCAUCCUGCAAAUAUUGAUUGCCGAUAAUCUUCAAGAGGACAUUCCCCAAGAGAGGUGGAUUGAAAAGGAAAGCUUCCAUACAUUUACCCUCCUGGGCCAUGGAUUUUCCAACCAUCAUCGCAAUGGAUGACCCAAGGGAAUGUCCUGCUAACCAAAUAUUUGCAGACCCGGCUUCUUGAACAACUUGUUGGACAGCUUCCAGUGCUGGUUUAAAGCGGUGUCUGUCCAUGUGAAGUACAUCAGUCAAGACCUUGAUAUUCAACUUGAGAUCUCGUUUUGCGGUGCUCAGUUUGAGGAUUGUGCCACGAAAGGCGAUAACAUACUUUGGGGCACAUUUUGGCAAAUGGUUAAGGUAUGUGUGCUUGAUUUCAUAAACAGCACCGUAGAUGGAUGAAUCUUUAUCAUCUACGAGCGCACGUUUUAACUGAAAAUGAAAGAAGUUCCACCAACGGGAAGACUGAACUUGGGGAUCUCGGGAUUCCUGGCGAUCAUAUUCUAAAUUGUAUGCUCCCUCAACCAGGCUCGCAACAACUGCCCGACGGUGAUGAUUAUUUGUCCUGCAAUAUUGAGGAAUGGUAAAUGAAUCCUCAUAUCUAAUCUACCCUUUCACAAAUACAGCAAUUAACUUAAAUAGAAAAUCUUGUCAAUGUUGAUCCUCAGGCAAUCUACAACACCUUCAAGAUGCAUGCUGAGGCAGAAUUCACCAUUUUCUUAUAGGAGUUUUAGGUCACAUUUAAAAACUAGUAAUAUUACCAUACUUUAGAUUGGUCUCUGUGUGUAACCAAGGACAAAAACCGAGCCUCACCGAUUCAGUCAUCCAAUUUUCUUUAAGCGUUUAGGUAAAGGGUCUCAUGGUUCGAUCCCAUUGCUUAUUCUUAUGUAUAUAUUGAAAAAUGGAAAAACUUAUGCAUUAUGUGAAAUGAGCAUGCAUGUAGGAAAAUGGUUGUACCAGUCAACUUCAGUGAGUUGUUUCGGUCCUGUGAGGUCGAAAUUUCCCCUUUCAAUAGCCAUUUGUCUGUGUGUGCUUCCCUUUCAAGUUUCGAGAUAUAUGCUGCCGGGCACAUAGGAGGGGGAAAAAAUCCAGAAAAUGAGUGGCAUACCAAGAUGAAAUGAUAGAGAAAAAAAUCCCGAAAAUGAAGGUUAAUCAUCAGAAACAAACUUAAAGGCACGAUGGAACCUCCAUGGGAAUAACAUCAAAACUUUUGAAUCAACACUUAGUCAUUCUUGGGAACCCACGUCAAUAUUGGAAAUCCAAAAAUUAUCUUUCUAUGUAUCAUAACAUUAUCAAUGAAUCUGUUGAAUUUUGACUUAGUAUUUGUUGGAAUUUGAAUUUUGAAUAUUGCAGCUGGAGUCUUGCACAAAAUCUGCAACAUCUAGAUAUUUUCUUAUUUUUAUUUGGUCAAGAUUUGGUUUCUAUUUUAUAGGAAGUAGUUGUUCAUCAUCUAGUAGCUUGAUUUUCUGCUAUUCUAAUGUCAUUUCAGUUACAAGCUCAUGUAUAAAUUCAGCACUCUUCAUCAAUAAAAUUAGUUCUGGCAGCCCAAAAAUAUAUAUUCUGUAUAAGUAUUUAAUCUUAUACCAACAAAGUGGUAUCAGAGCCAUAGUUAUCUUGAGGGGCCAGUGAGGUGAGUGAACCCAAACACCUUCUAAAAUCAUUUAGCAAUGGAAGAGUCAAGUCUCACAGUUGCACCAUCAAUUCUUGAUGGAGACAAUUAUGAAACUUGGGUUGUUAGAAUGACAGUUCAUCUACAAGCACUUGAUGUUUGGGAAGCAGUGGAAGAAAAUUAUGAAGUUCCUCCCCUGGGAGCCAAUCCAACUGUGGCUCAAAUGAAGUUGCAUAAAGAAAGAAGGACAAGAAAGGCUAAAGCGAAAGCUUGCUUGUUUGCUGCAGUUUCACCAUCAAUUUUCAUCAAAAUCAUGAAAAUUGAUUCAGCUGCAGAAAUUUGAGAGUAUCUCAAGGAGGAAUACAAAGGAGAUGAAAUAAUCAAGAACAUGCAGGUGAUGAACUUGAUUCGAGAAUUUGAAAUGAAGAAAAUGAGGGAGUCUGAUGCUGUUAAAGACUAUGCUGCACAACUUCUUUCAAUAGCAGACAAAGUUAGGCUGCUUGGAAAAGAAUUUUCCAAUGAGAAGAUUGUUCAAAAGAUAUUGGUUACACUGCCUGAGAAAUAUGAAGCUAUAAUUUCCUCUUUGGAAAAUUCAAAAGAUCUGUCAACUAUUAGCUUGACAGAAUUAUUACAUUCCUUGGAGGCUGUGGAACAAAGAAGACUCAUGAGACAAGGAGAUACUGCAGAAGGAGCAUUUCAAGCAAGAAUGCAGAAAAAUGCAGGCCAUAAAAAUGGAAAGGUGAACAACAAGAAGUCGUGUGGCAACAACCAGAAAAAUGGAGUUUUUCCACCUUGUCCUCAUUGCAAGAAGACAAAUCAUUCUCCACAAAAAUGUUGGUGGAGACCAGAUGUGAAAUGCAACAAGUGUGGUAAACAAGGAAAUAUGGAGAGGAUUUGCAAAAAUCAACAACAGGAAGAAACUAGUGCAGCAGUUGACUAUUGCCAGGAGGAGCAAUUGUUUGCAGCAACGUGUUUUGCUAAUAAAAGCACCUCUAAAAGCUGGCUUGUGGAUAGUGGUUGUACAAACCACAUGACAAAUAAUCAAGAUCUCUUUAGAGAACUUGAUAGAACAACUAUUUCCAAAGUCAGAAUUGGAAAUGGUGAGUAUAUUCCAGUGAAGGGCAAAGGAACGGUUGCUAUCGAAAGCCAAACAGGUUUGAAACUCAUUUAUGAUGUUUUGUUUGUGCCUGACAUUGACCAAAACUUACUCAGUGUUGGACAGCUUGUUGAGAAAGAAUUUAAAGUUUAUUUUGAAGAUAGGAAUUGCAUUAUCAAGGAUGCUGAAGGCAAAGAGGUGUUCAACAUAAAAAUGAAGGGCAAGAGUUUUGCCUUGAAUUUACUGGAAGAUGAGCAUACUGCUAUUUUACAUUUUACAACAAGAUAGCACAACAAUGUUUUGGGACACAAGGGUCGAGCACUUUCAUCAUGAUGAUGUGCUCUACAUGAAGAAAAAUCAAAUAGCUGAAGGACUUCCUAACUUAGAAAAAGAUUUUCCUAUAUGUGCUACUUGUCAAUAUGGGAAGCAAACUAAACUUCCCUUUCCAAAGAAAAUAUCCUGGAGAGCAACCCAAAAACUGCAACUGGUGCAUACUGAUGUUGGUGGAUCUCAAAAGAUGUCAUCCUUGAAAUGGAAUGCAAACAAUGUUCACCAGCCCACUGCACCAUAUAAUCCACAACAAAAUGGAGUCGUGGAGAGGAAAAAUAGAACAAUUUUGAAGAUGACAAGAUGCCUUCUGCAUGAAAAAUAUCUACCUAAAAAAUUUUGGGCUAAAACUGCAAGUAGAGCAGUAUAUUUUCUGAACAUAUUGCCAACAAAAGUGUUAAAGAAGCAGACCCCUUUCGAAGUUUGGUUUGAGUGUCUACAUGCAAGACUUGGAGUUUGCAUCUACGAAGUCAAGGAGGAGUGUUGAAUUUUGACUUAGUAUUUGUUGGAAUUUGAAUUUUGAAUAUUGCAGUUGGAGUCUUGCACAAAAUCUGCAACAUCUAGAUAUUUUCUUAUUUUUAUUUGGUCAAGAUUUGGUUUCUAUUUUAUAGGAAGUAGUUGUUCAUCAUCUAGUAGCUUGAUUUUCUGCUAUUCUAAUGUCAUUUCAGUUACAAGCUCAUGUAUAAAUUCAGCACUCUUCAUCAAUAAAAUUAGUUCUGGCAGCCCAAAAAUAUAUAUUCUGUAUAAGUAUUUAAUCUUAUACCAACAGAAUCUUUAUACACAUACGCAUCAAUACAUAGUAUCAAAAUAUUAACAAAAAGUUCAUAUUUAGACGUUCUCACUCACAAAAAUCUGCAAACAUCACAACAUCAUAAUGAUAACAGUUCAUAGUAUACACCAACUGUAUCAAAAUGUUGGCGAAAAUCCAUACUUAAAGGAGCACCCAGAAGCUUCUGCAAAUAUCAUAAUAAGAAAAAAGAAGAGGAUCAAAACCUUACUCGUACCAAAUAGUUUGAAUCCAAAGGAAGCCUUGCAAAGCCUUCGAAUGAGGGGAGUUAUUUAUAAGCAUGCAAUGCAAUGCAUGCAACUUACAAGAUUUAAAAGCCACGAGGGGAAUCUACCUAAAGCUGGUCAGUUGGAUGGAAAUAACGGUGAGAGACCAGUUGAUAUGGGAGAGCCAUUGAAAUGGUGUCCUUUUAAUUCUCUCUGUCAUGUGGAAUAAAGCCGGCAAGACUAGCUUGACAAAACGAUAACAUGUCCAUGGAAGAAAGUAAUGGUCCAAAAAUGCUGAAAAUGAUCUUUGGUUAAUGAGACAAGAUCAAGUCGACGAUUUAGGAACAUGGCAAGGAAUCCAAGAUUAAGCUUGCUCUACUUUACAAAAUCUCUCCACUUAUAACACACCCAAAAGCAAUUUGGCUCCCUUUUUUUCUUUCUAUAAGAAUGAAUUCUUAAAACAAAUCCAUGAGUGUUUAUCCUUGUAAGAAGAAGAAAACCUCUUAAAAGUCAUUAAAGGAACACCAUGACGUGAUUGAUCAAUGUAAAAGAUACUUUAAAAUGCAUGCUUAUCUUUAUAAUCUACAGAAUAUCAUAAAGUAUUCCCUCUCAUUCAACUCAAUUUGACGACACCCUCUCAAUUCCACAUUAAAUUUAUCAUUGAACGUCAACAGUAUACAAAUAUCAUAAAUCUUUGGUAAGAAAAAGGAGGAAACAUGACACAUGAAUGCUUUAAAAAGAGAAGUAUUUAAAAAAUGACACUCAAAAUUAAUUCUCUAAAAAUACUCUUAUGCCCCAUAAGGGUUAUGAAAAGUAUAGUAAAAGGAAAAGUGAAAGGGAAGAAUGUUAAGUAGGAAAAAAUAUAUAUAAAUUGUAUUUUUAAAUAAUUUUGGUAAUAUUUUAUUUUGCUUAAUAUUUUUAUGAUAAACUAAAUAGAGAAUUUGGAUUCCUUUGGCUAUGUUUGGUUCUCGAAAAUUUUGACAAUGGUAGAAUGCACAAAGAUAUAUGAACAAGAUGAGAAUGGUGUGGAUCAAAAAUGAUCAGGCAUCCUUUAUACUUGUCUAGAUUAAAUCUUACGAGCUUUGUAUGUAUUAACAACGAGUUGUUGGAUGAAAUUAAGAUCAUCUAGACCUCCUAUUUAUAUGCAAAGUGCUUCAUCAUUUAUCAUUAAUUGAUCUUCAUCUAAUAUUUCUGGUUUCCCAAAAUCUGGAAGGAGACCUUAAAUAAAUCCUAGCAUCGUGUGGACUACAUUUCUUUUUGGGUCCAUACACCAAGUGUUACUUAUUGUCUAUAUAUUUUAUUUGACUUUUUUGAGCGUGUAGAUUAUUCAGCCAAGGGAACAACAUGCAAUCUAGAUUCAACCAAGGGAAAAACGUGCUAAGGCCCACUUAUUAAUAAGUCUAUAGGCAGUUAAGCCAUUGUUGAAUGGGUUAACUGCGUGAGAAGAUUUGGAGGUGAACUAUUCCAAUUUAAAAUAAUUUUUGGUUUCAUAUAUAUUUUGAGUAAAAAUUUUCAACUGCUCGAUCUUUUUGCAAUAAUUUCUAAGCAAUUUUCUACAAAUAUUUAAAUAGAGGGACUAGUUCAUCAAUGAGAUAUUUGGUUAAAAGACCUAAAUACUUUUGAAAUUAGAAAAAUUACCUCUUUAAUUUAAUCAUUCUUUAAAAAAAAUCUUUGUUUCAUUAAAAAUGUCGUUUCCCCCCAGUGCCAAGUCAUUUUCCUCCCAAUUUUUUUUACCUAACUCCCUCUCUAAGUCUACGCUCUCUCAAGGGAUAAAAAUCAGCCUUUUUUUUUGGGGGGGGGGGGGGGGGGGGGGGGGGGUUUUUCCAAUUUUUUUUAAAAUUUUUUUGGAAAAAAGUUUUUAUUUUAAAUUUUUUUCCCCAGGGAAACCCUUUUUAAAACCCCCUUUUUUAAUAAAGGAAAAAAAUUUAAGGAAACCCCCGGACUUGUUUGUCCAAGUAAAAAAAAUUUUUAAAAAAUUUUUUUUUUUUUNNNNNNNNNNNNNNNNNNNNNNNNNNNNNNNNNNNNNNNNNNNNNNNNNNNNNNNNNNNNNNNNNNNNNNNNNNNNNNNNNNNNNNNNNNNNNNNNNNNNGGGGGGGGGGGCUUUCUACAAUUUCAUUUAAAAUUCUAUUGGAAAAUGAUUUAAUCUAGAUAUCAUUCAGCCAAGGGAACACCUUUCAAGACCCGCUUAUGUAAGUAAAGGAAGAAAAUUAAAGGAACACCAUGACAUGAUUGAUCAAUGUAAAAGAUACUUUAAAAAAUAUGUUUAUCUUUAUCAUCUUCUGAAGAUCAGAAAAUAUAAAACAAUAAUCAUACAGUAUUCCCUCUCAUUCAACAGUAUACGAAUGUCACAAAUUUUUUAUAAGAAAAAGGAGGAAACAUGACACAUGAAUGCCUUCGAAGGAGAAAUUUUUCAAAAAUGAUACUCAAAAUUAAUUCUCUGAAAGUGCUCUUAGGCCUGAAGGAUAAUGAAAAGUAGAAGGAAAAGUGAAAGAGAAGAAUGUUGAGGAAAAAAUAUAUUAAUUUGAAUCUUUAAAUAAUUUUGGUAAUAUUCUAUUUUUCUUCAUAUUAUCAUGAUAAACCAAAUAGGGAAUUUGGGUUCUUUAAGGUAUGUUUGGUUCUUGAAAAAUUUUGCACACCAUUGACAAUGGUAGAACGCAAAAGGUAUAUGAACAAAAUGAGGAUGGUGUCGAUAAGAAAUGACCAGAUGUCCUUUAUACUUGUCUAGAUUAAACCUCCCAAACUUUAUAUGUUUUAACGAGUUGUUGGAUGAAAUUAAGAUCAGCUAGAACUCCUAGUUAUAUGGAAAGUGCCUCAGCCUAAUAUUUCUGGUUUCCCAAAAUCUAGAUAAAGACCUUAAAUAAAUUUUCGCUUCGUGUGGACUAGGUUUCUUUAUGUACCAAGUCUUACUACUUGUCUAUAUAUUCUAUUUGACUUUUGAGCGUGUAGACUAUUCAGCCAAGGGAACAACGUGCAAUCUAGCUAUCAUUCACCCAAAGGAAAAACGUGCUAGGACCCACUUAUUAAUAAAUCUAUAGCAGCCAUUCUUGAAUGGCUGACUUGUUCCCUCAACCCCAUGAGAGGAUUCGGAUGUUUGAACUAUUGAAAUUUAAAAUUAUUUUUGGUUUCAUAUAUAUAUUGAGUAAAAAUUUCCAAGAGCUCUUUUAGCGUUGAUUUUUAAACAAUUUUCAAGUACUCAAAUUGAGGGACUGGCUCAUCAAUGAGCUUUUUUGCGGUUGCUUUUUUUUUUUUUUUUUUUUUAAUGAUUUUUUGCAAUUUCAUUUAAACUCUUAUUUUACUUUACUUUUGGGCAUGCAGAUUGGGUUUGCUCUUGGAAAAUGAUAUAAUUUAGAAAUCAUUCAGCCUAGGGAACAACAUGCAAGACUAAUAUUUAUAUUGCAUUAAUUUCUAAGAAAUUUUCUCCAAGCAUUUAGAUAAAGAUUUAUGGGGUAGGAGCUUUGACUUGCAUGCAGGGAGCUUUGACAAACAUUGUUGUUGUAGUUGUUCUUCUUCUUCUACUUUUCUACUUUUCUCAUUGUCUCAUUGACUCACGUAAACAAGCUUGACCGGAUACUUCCAUUUAACUCUUCCAUAAUCAAGAGGAUGCCUUCCUUUUCCACAGAUUAUCAUAAAUAACUCCUCUUGUUCAAAGGCUUUGAAAGCCUUCCUUUGGAUUCAAAGUAUUUGGUAAUGUUUUGAUCCUCUUCUUUUUUUAGAUAUUAUAAUAUUUGCAGAAGUUUGUGGGUGCUCCUUCAGGCAUGGAUUUUCGCCAACAUUUAUAUACAGUUAAUGAGACAAGAUCAAGUCGACGAUUUAGGAAGAUGGCAAGGAAUCCAAGAUUAAGCUUGCUCUACUUUAAAAAAUCUCUCCACUUAUAACGGACCCAAAUGCAAAUUGGCUUCCUUUUUUUCUUUCUAUUAGAAUGAAUUCUUAAAACAAAUCCAUGAGUGUUUAUCCUUGUAAGAAGAAGAAAACCUCUUAAAAGUCAUUAAAGGAACACCAUGACGUGAUUGAUCAAUGUAAAAGAUACUUUAAAAUGCAUGCUUAUCUUUAUAAUCUACAGAAUAUCAGAAAGUAUUCCCUCUCAUUCAACUUAACGGUAUACAAAUAUCAUAAAUCUUUGAUAAGAAAAACGGGGAAACAUGACACAUGAGUGCUUUAAAAAGAGAAGUAUUUCAAAAAUGACACUCAAAAUUAAUUCUCUGAAAAUACUCUUAGGCCCCAUAAGGAUCAUGAAAAAUAUAGUAGAAGGAAAAGUGAAAGGGAAGAAUGUUGAGGAAAAAAAUAUAUUAAAUUACAUUUUUAAAUAAAUUUGGUAAUAUUUUAUUUUGCUUGAUAUUUUUAUGAUAAACCAAAUAGAGAAUUUGGGUUCUUUAAGCUAUGUUUGGUUCUCGAAAUUUUUUUGCAUACCACAGACAAUGGUAGAACGCCAAAGGUAGAUGAACAAGAUGAGGAUGGUGUGGAUCACAAAUGACCAAACGUCCUUUAUACUUGUCUAGAUUAAAUCUCACAAGCUUUAUAUGUUUUAACGAGUUGUUGGAUGAAAUUAAGAUCAACUAGACCUCCGAUUUAUAUGAAAAGUGCUUCAGCAUUUAUCAUUAAUAGAUCUUCAUCUAAUCUUUCUAGUUUCCCAAAAUCUAGAUGGAGACCUUAAAUAAAUCCUAGCUUUGUGUGGACUGGGUUUUUUUAUGGGUCCAUAUAUCGAGUGUUACUUGUUGUCUAUAUAUUCUAUUUGACUUUUGAGCGUGUAGAAUAUUCAGGCAAGGGAAAAACGUGCGAAGACCCACUUAUUAAUAAGUCUAUAACAAAAACUUCUAAAAAAAGACACUCAAAAUUCUCCAACCUAACCUCCUGUAGAAAUGCUCUUAGGCUUUGUGAGGAUCAUGGAAAAUAGGGGGGAAAGAGAAAAGAGAAAAACGAUGAGGAAUCAAGGAAAAAAAAAAGCUAAAACUCAAUAAAUUUUUCUUACAAUUUUUUCAUAUUUGUUUUUGUUUUUUCUUUUUUACCCCUUUACAUAAAUAAUGAAGAAUAUGGUUUUGGUUAGGUUUUAUUUUUCUUGGUAUUCUUCUUGAUAAACCAAAUAUAAUUUUGGUUAUGCUAGAGUGUUUGAACCAUGCAAGCUGGGAUGGAGUGUAGAUUGGGUUCAACAAGACAAUGCUCGGAAAUUAUACAAAUGACUAGUCUAGAGAAUUGAUGGGUGCUUAAGGCAUUUUCUAAAUUGGUCCCCACCCUUAUUUGUUUCUCCCUUGGUUUGAUUUGUACAUUUUCACCAUCUUAUUGGUGCAUAUCCAUGUAGGUUCCAUUGGGCAUGCGGAAGCCUUGAUACCAAUUUGGUGAAGUAAUAAGGUUAAAAGAGAGAGACACAAUUUCAAGCAAGGUAAUGCUAGGAAAUUAUACAAAUCACUUUAGAGUGACUGGUAGUUAAGGCAUUUUCUGAAUUGGUCCCCACCCUUAUUUGUUUCUCAUUUGGUUUGAUUUGUACAUUUUCACCAUCUUAUUGGUGCAUAUCCAUGUAGGUUCCUUUGGGUAUAUGAAAGUUUUGAUACCAAUUUGGUGAAGUAAUAAGGUUAAAAGAGAGAGACACAAUUUUAAGCAAGAUAAUGCUGAGAAAUUAUACAAAUGGCUCUAGAGUGACUGGUAGUUAAGGCAUUUUCUAAAUUGGUCUCCUCCCUUAUUUGUUUAUCACUUGGUUUGAUUUGUACAUUUUCACCAUCUUAUUGGUGCAUAUCCAUGUAGGUUCCGUUGGGUAUACGAAAGCUUUGAUACCAAUUUGGUGAAAUAACAAGGUUAAAAGAGAGACACAAUUUCAAGAUAGAAAUAAAUAAACAAAAAAUUGGGAAGAAAUAAACCUUUAUUGUCUUUCACAACUCUCGCUUAUUCAAAUAUUACAUAAUCUUUUAUUUAUAGAUUAAUUUUCACACUGAACUAAAUAAAAACUCCUAAUUAACUGCUCAGAAAUAAAAACUAAAAUAACCAUUAAAAAUAAAAUAUUCUCACUGGCUAAAAUAACCAUUUCCAAUAAAAUAUUCUCAUUGGCUUUUGGAGACUAAAUAUAAUCCAAAUAUUUUAAGCAUUGUUUUUGUUGGGGGUUUCUAACAUUGUUUUUUGUUUUGUUUUGUUUUUGUUUUUGUUUUUUUUUUGUUUUUUUUGUUUUUUUUUUUUUUGGUUUUUUGCAAUUUCAUUUAAACUUCUAUUCUACUUGACUUCUAGGUGUGUAGAUUGGGUUUGCCCUUGGAAAAUUAUGACUUUGUGAGGAUCAUGGAAAAUAGGGAGAAAAGAUGAGGAAAGAAGGGAAUGGAAAAAAGAAGCUACAACUAUAUAAAGAAGUCUCAUCUGAAGGCUUUGGAAGGCCUCCUUUGGAUUAAAAGCAUUUGAUAAAGCCAGGUUUUGAUGGCAUGGUUCAAUAAUGUAAGGGAUUGUUAAAAAUGUAUGUUCAUUUCUAUGAUCUACAAAAUAUCAAACAAUAGUUUUUUUCUCUUGAGCAACACAAAAAUAGAAUCAUUUAUCCUGAAAGAAUGCUCUUACGCUUUGUGAGGAUCAUGGAAAAUAGGAGGAAAAGUACAAGGGAGAAAAACCGAGGAAAUAAGGGAAUGGAAAAAAGAAGCUAAAACUCAAUAAAUUUUAAAUCUUGUAAUUGACUUUGUGAGGAUCAUGGAAAUUAGGGAGAAAAGACGAGGAAAGAAGGGAAUGGAAAACAGAAUCAUUUAUCCUGUAAGAAUGCUCUUAGGAUUUGUGAGGAUCAUGGAAAAUAGGAGGAAAAGUACAAGGGAGAAAAAACGAGGAAAGAAGGGAAUGGAAAAAAGAAGCUAAAACUCAAUAAAUUUUAAAUCCUGUAAUUGACUUUGUGAGGAUCAUGGAAAAUAGGGAGAAAAGACGAGGAAAGAAGGGAAUGGAAAACAUAAUCAUUUAUCCUAUAAGAAUGCUCUUAGGCUUUGUGAGGAUCAUGGAAAAUAGGAGGAAAAGUACAAGGGAGAAAAAACGAGGAAAUAAGGGAAUGGAAAAAAGAAGCUAAAACUCAAUAAAUUUUAAAUCCUGUAAUUGACUUUCUGAGGACCAUGGAAAAUAGGGAGAAAAGACGAGGAAAUAAGGGAAUGGAAAACAUAAUCAUUUAUCCUGUAAGAAUGCUCUUAGGCUUUGUGAGGAUCAUGGAAAAUAGGAGAAAAAGUACAAGGGAGAAAAAACGAGGAAAGAAGGGAAUGGAAAAAAGAAGCUAAAACUCAAGAAAUUUUAAAUCCUGUAAUUGACUUUGUGAGGAUCAUGGAAAAUAGGGAGAAAAGGUGAGGAAAGGAGGGAAUGGAAAACAAAAUCAUUUAUCCUGUAAGAAUGCUCUUAGGAUUUGUGAGGAUCAUUGAAAAUAGGAGGAAAAGUACAAGGGAGAAAAAACGAGGAAAGAAGGGAAUGGAAAAAAGAAGCUAAAACUCAAUAAAUUUUAAAUCCUGUAAUUGACUUUGUGAGGAUCAUGGAAAAUAGGGAGAAAAGACGAGGAAAGAAGGGAAUGGAAAACAGAAUCAUUUAUCCUAUAAGAAUGCUCUUAGGCUUUGUGAGGAUCAUUGAAAAUAGGAGGAAAAGUACAAGGGAGAAAAAACAAGGAAAGAAGGGAAUGGAAAAAAGAAGCUAAAACACAAUAAAUUUUAAAUCCUGUAAUUGACUUUGUGAGGAUCAUGGAAAAUAGGGAGAAAAGACGAGGAAAGAAGGGAAUGGAAAAUAGAAUCAUUUAUCCUAAUAAGAAUGCUCUUAGGCUUUGUGAGGAUCAUGGAAAAUAGGAGGAAAAGUACAAGGGAGAAAAAACGAGGAAAGAAGGGAAUGGAAAAAAGAAGCUAAAACUCAAGAAAUUUUAAAUCCUGUAAUUGACUUUGUGAGGAUCAUGGAAAAUAGGGAGAAAGGACGAGGAAAGAAAUGAAUGGAAAGCAUAAUCAUUUAUCCUGUAAGAAUGCUCUUAGUCUUUGUGAGGAGAAAAAACGAGGAAAGAAGGGAAUGGAAAAAAGAAGCUAAAACUCAAUAAAUUUUAAAUCCUGUAAUUGACUUUGUGAGGAUCAUGGAAAAUAGGGAGAAAAGACGAGGAAAGAAGGGAAUUAAUGGAAAAAAGAAGCUACAACUAUAUAAAGAAGUCUCAUUUGAAGGCUUUGGAAAGCCUCCUUUGGAUUAGAAGCAUUUGAUAAAGCCAGGUUUUGAUCCUCUUUUUUGGUGUAAUGAUAUCUGCAGAAGUUUGUGGGUGAACCGGUAAGUACGGAUUUUAUCCAACAUUUUCAUACAAUUGGUGUAUAUGUGUCUAAAGAUUCUUGUGCUAAUGAAUUCAUGUGAUUAUUAUUAUAUGUAUGCUAUGCUGUUUGCCGGGCUAUCGAUGUUAUGAUACAUAGGAAGACAAUUUUUGGGUUUCCAAUACCUGGUAAGAACAAUUCCACAAAUCUACUUCUAUCUUCAGGAUGGUUAUGUGUUUUUUGUCAUUGCACUUUUGUUUAUACAUGAUAAUAACAAUAAUAAUAGAAGAAGAAGAAGAAGAAGAAGCAGAAGACAGUUUGUAACAAAAUUUACUUCUCAAAAAUAAAUUGAUCCAAGAAAUUUGUAACAAGUAUGAAUUGAUUGAAGAAGUUUGUAACCAAAUUAAUUAUUUGCUUCUCAAAAAUAGGUUGUGAUCGUUGUCUUUUAAAUCUUUCACAAGUUGCAACUGCAUCUUCCCAAAAGUUGCGGCUUGCAAAAUAAAAAAUUAAUUGAUCAUUUAUUCUGCUUGGUUGCUGAGAAAAGGAAAGGUUGACUAUCAUGUUUCUUAUGUUGUAAGAAUUGGAAAUAGAAAUUUUCAGGUCAAUUGAGCCAUGUAAUUGCAUUAAGCUCACUUCAUAUUUGAUAUAUCAUUGAUGUGGGUUCCCAAGAAUGACAAAGUGUUGGUUCAAAAUUUUGAAUUAUUUUCUUUUCCGACAUUCUUAGCCACCAAACUGCAGAGCUAGGUAAGGUAUUACCAUCUCUUCUAUGACAGACGAAUAAAACACAUGUAACUACUUGGAGGAAAAUUAAGUCUGACAUCUCACCCUCUAGCAGCAGACAGCAAGCAUAAAAUUAAGGCUUUGAAAGGUCUCUUUUGAUUUCAUUCUAUUGGUAUAAUGUGAGUAUUUUGGUUUCCCUUCCUCUUUGUAUUAGGAUAUAUAUGUACACAUACCGCUGAAUGAAAGCUUAGAUUGUUAGUGUUCUUACAUAUAUAAGUUUCGAUACUAUUCCCAUGGAGGCCCCAUCAUUAGUGAUAUGGUACUUUACUCCCUGUAGUGUACUGGUACACAUGACAUUAAAGCUUAAGUUUCAUGCCUUUUAAGUUUGUAUCUGUUGAUUAACCUUCACUCCUUUCAUCUUGGUAUUUUUCUGGAUUUUCUUUUUUCUCCUAUGUGCCCUGCAGAAUAUAUAUAUUUCCUUUCAAGAACAGAAGGAAGAAGGGCAGUAGAGGUACACAAUCACUAAUGGCUCCUGAAUUGGAAGAUUUCGACCUCACAGGACCGAAACAGCUCGCUGUUGUUGACUGGUACAACCAUUUUCCUACAUACAAUACUCAGUACACAUAAUGCAUUAAGUUUUACCAUUUUUCAAUAUAUACAUUAGAGAAUAAGCAAUGGGAUCGAUCCAUGAGACCCUUACCCAAACGCUUAAAGAAAAUUGGAUAACUGAAUCUGUGAGGCUCAGGGUUUGUGCUUGAUUACACAUGGAAACCAAUCUAAAGUAAAGUAAUAUUACCGGUUUUUAAAUGUGAACUAACACUCCUAUUAAGAAAAUGGUGAAUUCUGCCCCGGCAUGCAUCUUGAAGGUGUAUUAGGUUGCCUGAGGAGCAGCAUUGACAAGAUUUUCUAGAUAAAUUAACUGCUGUGUAUUUAUCAAAGGGGUAGAUUAGAUAUGAGGAUUCGUUUUCUAUUUCUCAUUGCAGGAGAAAUAAUCAUCACUGCCGGGCAGUUGCUGCCAGCCUGGUUCAGGGAGCAUACAAUUCAGAACAUAAUCGCCAGAAAUCCCAAGAUCCCAAAGUUCAGAGUUCCCGUUGGUGGUGCUCCUUUCAUUUUGAGGUAAAACGUGUGCUCAUAGAUGAUAAAGAUUCAUCCAUCUACGGUGUCGUUUAUGAAUUCAAGCACACAAACCCUAACAGUUUGCCAGAAUGCGCCCCAAAGUGUGUGAUUGCCUUUCGUGGAACAAUCCUCAAAUCUAGCUCCGCAAAACAGGAUAUGAAGUUGAAUAUCAAGCUCUUGACUGCUGAACUUCGCAAGGACAACUCUCGCUUUAAACCCGCGCUGGCCGCUGUCAAAGAAGUUGUUCAAGAAGCUGAGCCUGCAAAUAUUUGGUUAGCAGGACAUUCCCUGGGGUCGGCCAUUGCAAUGCUGGUUGGAAAAUCCAUGGCCCAGGAGGAGGGAAAGUAUCUCAAAACUUUCCUUUUCAAUCCGCCUUUCUUGAGGUCUUCCCUCUCAAUGAAUAUCAACAGUCCACGUUUGGAGAAUGUAAUCUGCUCAACAAAGAAUGUUAUCAAAGCUGGGAUCUCUUUUGUUGGGGGUGAUCAUUUGUGGCAGGAACGACAUCACCAAUUUAAUAAAUUGUCUCCUUGGAUCCCCUACCUGUUUGUGAACAAAGACGAUCCUAUUUGCUCAGGGUAUAUAGACCAUUUUGGAAAUAGGAAGAUCGAAUCUGAGAUAUGUUCAAUAAGGAGUGCAUUAAGAGCUGCAGUUGGGAUAGAUCCACAACUACCCGUACAUCUACUUCCUAAAGCAUAUCUAACUAUUAGCGAGAACUCAUCCUCAUGCGAUGUUUUGGAAGCUCAUGGACUAAAACAAUGGUGGUACCAAAUGUCUAUAGGGCCGGGCUUUGCAAAUUCACCAAUGAAGGUAUCGAUAGGUGAUACCAAACUCGUGGGUGAACCCUGAGCACACUCCAUGAGUAUUGAUGGAGUAAUCGGUAACAGAUGCCAAGUGAAAGGGUGCAACCUUUUACCCAGUCUAUUCAGGAUGUUGUGAUCUUUGAUUUUUUCGUCUCAGGUAUAAAUUUAGUUCUUCUUAUGGUAUGUGAACUCAUGAUUAGUGCAAUUUCAAACAUUUUACUUUUCCUGCAAUUGUGUUACCUUUGGUUUUAGGCAUGUAUACCUUGUUGGAAAAUGUUUCAAAUUCUGUUGAUAUAUGUUUUUGUUCCUAAUUAGCAUAUGUUUAUAUAUUUUGGUAAAGAAUAAUAUUGUAGAGAAUAUUUUUUAUAUUGAUAUGUCAUUAUCAUAUUAGAUUCCCUUAUAUAAUAAAAAAAAUUUAUCACAAGUGUCACUAUAAAUAUUCUAAGUUAUAAGGGGGAAAAAUCAUGAGAUGGAAAUGGGUUUAUGAAGAUUAUAAAUGGUAGAUAGAAAUGUGAAAAAGAAUGGGAAACACCCGAUAGAGUAGCGACUCAUAAUUCAAGGUGUAGAUACAAAAAGUGAAAUAGGGGAUGUUUUAGGGCUUAAUAGUUAUGUCUAGUUUGUCUUUUGUAAUAUUCUCUAUAGUAUAAUGGAAUGAUUUUUUUAUUUUAUGGAUGUAGACGUGGCUAGUCAAACCUUGCAUGUUAAAAUCUCAUGUACAUUUGUGUAUGAAUUGUUUAUCUUGGUAUUCUUCUAUUAACAUAUUGUAUGCAUUAAAGCCUCAAUUGUCAUAACAAAGUGGUAUUAGAGCUUAUGUUCUUAAGCCUAGAAUGACAACAAGAUUUAAGGUUAAGAGGUUUGAUGCAAAAAACGAUUUUAGUUUAUACUGCAUUAAGAUACAUGCCUUGUUGGUUCAAUAAGGAUGGUCCAAAGUGCUUAAAGGUAGAAAUGUUUUAUUAACAAUAAUAUAUGAUGAAGAGACUAAGGAACUUGUGGAGAAAAUGCAUAAUGUUAUUCUAUUAUGUUUGGGUACUAAGGUACUUAGAAAGUUCCAGAAGAUGAUACAAUUGUCAAGUUAUAGUUAAAGUUAGAAAGUCUAUAUAUGACUAAGUCUCUUAUAAUUCACUUAUAUUUAAAGAAGCGGUUGUUCAUUCCCCAGAUGAAGUACAUCCAUCAAAGACCACAUUUAUGAAUUUUAAUUAUAGAUUUGAGGAAUAGUGAUGUUAGAAUUGAUAAUGAAAACUAAGCCAUAAUUUUAAAUUGUUCCCUACCAAAUUUUUGUGCACACUUUCUGGAUAUCAUGAUGUAUGGUGAAAAUACUCUCUCCAUAGAGGAUAUUAAGGCAACCUGGAACUUAGAGAAGUUAAAGAAAAGGGUCUUUGAGAGUGAAGAAAAAAGCUUAGGUGAAGGUUUGGUGGCUAAAGGAGAAUGGAGAAGAAAAAUAUUAGCAAAAAAGUUCGAUUUAGGUUUAAAUCGAAGUUCAAGAGAAAUAAAAAGGUACUAUAAGAGAAAUUGUCUAGAACAUUAAAAAAAAACAAAAAAACAAAAAGCCGGCUAUGAUUUUGGUUAUGCAAUAAUUGUAGAUGAAAAUUUCUAUGACUUUUUGCAAGUAGAAAACAAACAAAUUUUUUUCAAAAUUAUUUUCUUUCUUUGAGAAUAGAAAACGAUUUUCGGAAAUCAAAAUGAAAAUCCCACCAUUUUUUUCAAAGAUAAAAUCAUACAAAAUUUUAAAAAUAUUUUUGCCCUAAUUUUAAUUUGGACUAUAAUUGUAAUAUAAAAAUAGAUAAACAUAAUUGUCAUAAAAUAACAUAUAUUAAGUAUAACCAUAAAAUACAUAAAAAUUAUUUUCUUAUAAUUUUUAUCAAAUAAUUAAAAUCAAUAUAAAUAUAAAAGGAAAUACACUAUUGGCUAGCGUUGACGUGCCUAUGUGAACCAAAAUUAGUAAUUUAAAAAAAUUAAAUAUUAAUAAAUGGUACAGAAUGAGACGUGUACGAGAAAUUCUCCUAUACUAAUAAAAAUAAAUUUAAAUAAUAAAGGAUUAAAAGGAUUGGCCCUUGACCCUUCCCGAACCCACCACUUAUCAUCUUUCCGUGAGAAAUAUGCCACAAAGAUGAAUGAGAUAAGGUUUGAAUUGAAGUGGGGUGACCCUUGACCCAUCCCGAACCCACCACCUGUUAUCAUUCCUAACUGAGAAAUGUGGAACAAAGAUGAAUGAGAUAAGAUUUGAAUCGAAGUGGGGUGUAUGUGCAGAGAUUUUUUUGAAAUAUAAACACAUAAAGAGAGUUUUCUGAAACAUAACCACAUGGAGAGAGGGGCAAUUAAAGAUGCCACUGAGCAUGACUUACUACCAUUGAGUUUGUAAAAAGGGGGUUUGCCAGAAGUUAUGUAUGAGUAGAGAAUUUGGGGACCAUACCAUAAACUUACUACCAUUGAAAGGUAAACGUGUGGACCGUGGACCUUGAUGCCAUCCACUUUAUCAUUUUGUAUCUUAAAUUUUUUUACUAUAUGUUUUAUACAUAGUCUUAAUAAAAAUAUCAGUAUAAUACUGAAUUGGCAAUGCUUUAACUUGAUAAAAAUUCAAAAGAGAAAAUAAGACUCCUUUUGAUAAAUGUUUUUAAAAAUCAUUUUUGAUAAUAGAAUUUAAAAAAAUUUCUUUAAUAUUUUGGAGAAUAAAAAUCUAUUUAGAAACCUAAAAUGUAUUUAAUAUGUUUUUAAUAUUUUAAAACAUAUUUUAAAAUAAUUUUUAUAUAUACUACUUUAUUUUUUAAUCAUUCUAUAUAUUUGUAUAAUUAUUUUUUAAAACAUUCUUAAAAAAAUGAAUGAAAACAACUAAAAGUAUUAUCGACACUCUAUUUUCUAUUUUUAAGAAUAUAAAUUAGAAAACAACUUUUUGAUUAUCAAAUGUGUAUAUACACACACAAAGUUUAUAACUUUAUAAAUACCAAUAAAGAUAAUAAAUAAUUAUAAAAUAAAUAAAUAAAAAGACAACUUCAUACAAUUUAAUAUAAGUGUAUCUCUAUUACAAAAAGGCAACUUCAUACUGGGUAAUAUAAGUGUAUCUGUUUUACAAACUUGAAUUUACACUCGGUGCUCAUAGUCUUCAUUUGACGAUCUAUAUACAGAAAACUAUAUCUUCAACUAAGUCUUUAAGUCAAACUUCAACUAUCACAUUUAAAUAUGGAUAUAGGACUUGGUUCUAAACAGAUUAAUGCUAUUAAUGGUUAUACGUUGAUAUUUUGAUAAUCAUGAAAGUUAAUAUGCAAUAACUCAAUCUCAUAGUUACAACCUUAUAACAAUUCUCGUAUAAGUGUGUCCUCUAAUGAUACAUGUGGCCUAUACCUUGUACAAUUUUCUACCUUAGGCUCAUUCAAGUAAAAACUCUUCCUAGCAUCACAUCUAUAUCAUUGCCAUCAUAAGACUCUCCCCACAAAAUUAGUACUACUUGCAAGUUAUGGCCUCAGGAUUGUUCCAUAGCAUUUUGGAAAGAAAAUUUCUUGUUACAAUUAAGGGAAGCACUACAAGAAAGCGAAGUUAUUAGAGUGAUGUGGAUAAACUUAUUAAAGAUAUUAGCUUAAAUAAUCCAAAAAAAGAAGUGAAAAUAGUUUUUCAAUAUUCUUUUGUGAUUUGAUGGACAUAUUUUAUAUAGGAAAAGGUUCAUUAUCACAAAAUCAUCACAAGACACUCCCACCAUGGAAAAUUCAUCAUGAAAUAUUAUCUCAUUAAGAAAAUAUCAUGAAUUUUAAAGCCGAACUUCUAUUACUAUAAAUCUGACUAAAAAUUGGGAAAAAGAAAAACACAUAUUUUGCUCUGGCUGCCUUUGGUUUAUUUACAGUAUGAGCAUUGCUAGAUGUAAGGCAUGCCUUCCCCUUUGCUAUCAGCCCUCUCCCUUCCUUCUUGGAUUGCCUCCUUCAAGAGGAGGUUCUUGAUUGAGUGCAGUUUGUUGACUCCAUCUCCCAUCUCCAUUCGGUCCCCUGGAGAUUCAAUGGAACAUGUGACGCCAAUUCUCAAUACUGAGACCAUGUACUCCUCCAUUUUGCGGUCUCUUUUUCAUCUCCUAAAACCAAAUGCGGAUCCAUGACUUCCCUUACUCGCUCAGGUAAAGAUGACUUCACAAAAUCAUGAAGAGUAAGGCCAUCUUAGAAGAUGUCAUCCGUUGGCCUUCUUCCUGUAAACAUCUCCAGCAAUAGAAUUCCAUAACUGUACACAUCUCCCUCUGCAGAAACAUUACCAGUAACACCAUAUUCUGCAAAAUAGUUAGAGCAAGAUUUAAUAAUUCUUCUUUGCAGGUUGUUUUUUUAAAGUUAAAAAGGUUCAAUGAAACUUUUUGUUUCAGUGAAUACUGGUGAUUCAGGAAGGCAACAUGAGAGGAUUUGGAGGUUUGAACUAUUAAUGAAUCUAUAGGCAGUUAAGGCAUUGUUGAAUGGGUUCCUUGCUCCUUCAACACCAUGAGAAGAUUUGGAGGUUUGAACUACUCUAAUUUAAAAUAGUUUUUGCUUUCAUAUGUAUUCUGACUAAAAAUUUCCAACAGCUCUUUUAGCAUUGAUUUCUAAGCAAUUUUCUACAAGUAUUUAAAUAGUGGGACUAGUUCAUCAAAAGACCUAAAUACUUUUGAAAUUGGAAAAAUGACCUCUCUUAAUCAUUCUUUAAAAAAAUGUUCUUUGUUUUGUCAAAAAUGUCAUUUCCCUCCCAUUUUUUACCUAACUCUCUCUAUAAGAUUAUGCUCUCUCAAAGGAUAAAGAUCAGUUUUGUUUUUUUUUGUAAUUUCAUUUAAACUUCUAUUCUACUUGACUUCUGGGUGUGUAAUUGGGUUUGCUCUUGGACAAUGGUAUACACUAGAUAUAAUUCAACCAAGGGAACAAUGUGCAAGACCCGCUUAUGUCUAUGGCAUUAAUUUUCUAAGAAAUUUGCUACAAUUAUUUAGAUAAAGAGACUUGUUCAUCAAUUAUGUUUCAUCUAGAAUAUGUUUGAAAUAUUAUGAUAAAGAAUGAGAUUGGAAAACUCAUUUACUUUCCCAUUUAUUAAUGUGUUUGGAAUACUAAUCUGAAAUUAGAAUAGGAAUAAAAAAAAAUCAUUUUAAUGGGAACUAAUUUACAAUUUUUAUAAGAAUUUUGAUUACUUUGUUUCAUAUGCUAUUGUAAUUCACCUAAAUUUUCAUUCUUAUUCUUGUGUAUCAAAUACACCUUAAAAUAAAAAAAAUUAAAAAAAAGAAAAAAAAAACCUUUUCUUAUUGGGAUGAAAAGAAAAGAAUAAACAAGAAAAUAGUAAGCAAAUUCAUACAAGUCUUCACGGAUGAAGAAAUUAAGAGCCAUACCUAUCGUUUUAAGUAGUAAACCUCAUAAAAUAAAGGAAGACCAUGGCAUGGUUCAAUAAUGCAAGAGAUUGUUACAAAUGCAUGUUCAUCUCCAUGAUCUACAAAAUAUCAAAGAACAGAUUUUUAUUUUUAUUUUUUCUCUCUUGAGCAACACAAAAACAGAAACAUUUAUCCUAUAAGAAUGCUCUUAGGCUUUGUGAGGAUCAUGGAAAAUAGGGAGAAAAGACUAGGAAAGAAGGGAUUGGACAAAGAAGCUAAAACUCAAUAAAGAACUCUCAUUUGAAGGCUUUGAAAGGUCUCCUUUGGAUUAAAAGCAUUUGAUAAAGCCAGGUUUUGAUCCUCUUCUUUUUUGGUGUUAUGAUAUCUGCAGAAGUUUGUGGGUGAGCCUGUAAGUAAAGAUUUUUUUCCAAUAUUUCAUACCUAAACAUGCACUUAAAGAAAAUUGGAUAACUGAAUCUGUGUGGCUCGGGUUUUGUUCUUGAUUACACACAGAAACCAAGCUAAAGUAGAGUUAUAUAACUAGUUUUUAAAUGUGACAUCCUAAAACUCCUAUAAGAAAAUGGUGAAUUCUGCCUCGGCAUGCAUCUUGAAGGUAUUUUAGGUUGCCUUGAGGAUCAGCAUUAAUUGACAAGAUUUUCUAGAUAAAUUAACUGCUGUAUUUAUCAAAGGGUAGAUUAGAUAUGAGGAUUCAUUUACUGUUUCUCAUUGCAGGACAAAAAAUCAUCACCGCUUGGCAGUUGCUGCGAGCGUGGUUCAAGGAGCAUACAAUUUAGAAUAUGACCGCCAGGAAUCCCAACAUCCCCGAGUUCAGUCUUCCCAUUGGUGGCACUUCUUGUUAAAGUUAUCAACAUCAGCAUGUGACUGAGAGGAUGUAUUGAACAAGUCAAGUUUGUUUUUGUGUCAAAAAUAUGCCUCUGUUUAGUUUUUCAAUAUAUUAGGAAUUGUCCGAGUCUUAGGGAGGUUGUUGCAGCACGUUUAGAGUAACUGGUUAUCUUUCUAUUCCUAUUUUUUAGUAUUUCUAUUUCUGUUGAUGGUUUUGCCUAUAAAAGGCUUGUAUCAGGUGAAGUUUAAAUCAUCACCAUAUUAAUAAAAUUAUUUUCUUUCCUCCUCUGUGUGUCUCUUUUAUAAAGUGGGUUCAACAUUUGGUAUCAGAGCCAGGUUGAAGAGGCAUUUCAGAGAGUGUUUGAGAGUCAAACACGUGAGGAAAAGAGAGAGUGAAAUGGGUGAUCUUCAAGUCAUUGGCGGAAUAAAAAAGCUCAACAACCAAAAUUACAAUACUUGGUCAACAUGCAUGAUGUCGUACAUGCAAGGCCAAGACUUGUGGGAGGUUGUGAACGGAAGCGAAAUUACUCAACCAAAGGUUGAGGAUGCGAAUGGUAUACUGCGAAAAUGGAAGAUAAAAGCGGGCAAAGCGAUGUUUGCUUUGAAGACAACGAUCGAAGAAGAUGUGCUAGAGCAUAUUCGAGAUGCCAAAACCCCUUACGAGGCUUGGAAUACGUUCACCAAGCUGUUCUCAAAGAAGAAUGACACAAGGCUCCAACUUCUAGAGAGCGAGUUGUUUUCGGUAGCACAGCGUGACUUGACAAUCGCUCAAUACUUUCACAAGGUGAAGACGUUAUGCCGGGAAAUUUCUGAGUUGGAUCUAGAAGCCCCAAUCGGUGAAACCAGGAUGAAGAGAAUAAUCAUCCAUGGUUUGAGACCAGAAUUUAGAGGUUUUGUUGCUGCUAUACAAGGAUGGCAAAAUCAACCAUCACUUGUUGAGUUUGAGAAUUUGCUAGCUGGUCAAGAAGCCUUGGCUAAACAAAUGGGAGGAGUUUCACUCAAGGGUGAAGAGGAAGCGCUUUAUGCCCACAAAGGCGGGUGGAAUUCCCAGCAGCACACCGUCAGAAGAACUAAAAAGAAUGAGGACAAGGCAAAGUGUAGUCAAGGUGAAAGGAGCGCUCGUGUUGAGGGAGAUUCGAAGAAUCCUGGCACCAGAAAAAAAUUUGAAGGGAAGUGCUACAAUUGCUGAAAGAAGGGUCACAUGGCAAAAGAUUGUUGGUCGAAAAAAGGGCUUGUGGAAAGUAAUGCUACUACUUCCAAAAGCGAAGAUGAGUGGGACGCUCAGGCAUUUUUUGCUGCAAUAGGAGAAUCAGCUUUUAUAGCAACAACGUCUGAACAAAUUGAUUAUGAGAAGGAUUGGAUCAUUGACUCAGGCUGCUCAAAUCAUAUGACGGGUGAUAAAGAAAAGUUGCAGGAUUUAUCAGAGUACAAGGGAAGACAUAUGGUAGUCACAGCGAACAAUUCAAAACUACCAAUAGCUCACAUUGGUAAUACGAUAGUCUCUUUCCAAUAUAAUACUAAUGAUGUGUCGCUUCAAAAUGUCUAUCACGUCCCAGGUAUGAAGAAAAAUCUUCUCUCGGUAGCACAAUUAACGUCUUCAGGCCAUUCUGUUCUAUUUGGCCCUCAAGAUGUGAAAGUUUAUCAUGACCUUGAGGUUAUGGAAGAGCCGGUGAUAAAGGGACGGAGACUAGAGUCAGUCUAUGUGAUGUCUGCAGAAACUGCAUAUGUAGACAAGACCAGAAAGAACGAGACAGCUGAUUUAUGGCAUAUGCGAUUAAGUCACGUUAGUUAUUCCAAACUAACUGUGAUGAUGAAAAAAUCAAUGCUGAAGGGACUUCCACAACUUGAAGUGAGAAAAGAUACAAUCUGCGCAAGAUGUCAGUACGGCAAAGCGCAUCAGUUGCCGUAUGAAGAGUCAAAAUGGAAAGCAAAGGGGCCAUUAGAGCUAAUUCACUCUGAUGUGUUUGGACCUGUUAAGCAAGCCUCUCUUAGUGGGAUGAAAUACAUGGUGACCUUUAUUGAUGAUUUUUCCAGGUACGUGUGGGUGUACUUUAUGAAAGAAAAAUCUGAAACUUUCUCAAAGUUUAAAGAAUUCAAGGAAAUGAAGGAAGCAGAGGUUGAUAAAAGAAUCCGUUGUUUGCGUACUGACAAUGGAGGAGAGUAUACCUCAGAUGAGUUUUUUUACUUCCUCCGAGAAUGUCGAGUACGCCAUCAGUUCACAUGUGCCAACACUCCGCAGCAAAACGGUGUAGCAGAAAGAAAGAACAGGCACCUAGCAGAAAUCUGUAGAAGUAUGCUUCAUGCAAAGAAUGUUCCAGGACGGUUUUGGGCAGAAGCAAUGAAGACUGCAGCUUUCGUAAUCAAUAGGCUUCCUCAACAAAGGUUAAAUUUUUCAUCACCCUUUGAAAAAUUGUGGAACAUAAAGCCUACAGUUAGUUAUUUCCGAGUUUUCGGAUGUGUUUGCUAUGUCUUUGUACCUAAUCAUCUACGCAGCAAGAUGGACAAGAAGGCUGUUAGGUGUGUCUUAGUAGGAUACGAUAGUCAACGAAAAUGAUGGAGAUGUUGCGAUCCUACAACUGGAAAGUGUUACACAUCCCGGAAUGUGGUGUUUGAUGAAUCAUCUUCAUGGUGGUCCUCAGAAAAGGAAAUAUUACCAGAUUCAGAUGUUUUUAAGGAUGAGUUGCAAUCUGCUCGAAUCCAACUUAGCUUAGGUGAAGCUGAAAAUGCAGCCGAUGGUGAUAUCGGAGAUGACGAAACUCAAAGUCCUUGGCAAACUGGUGUGCAUGGACAACCAAGCGAAGAAGGUGAGCCUAGUGAAACAGAAGCACCAAUUCCACUUAGAAGAUCAAUAAGAACCAAGAAGCCAAAUCCCAAAUAUGCCAAUGUUGCCAUAGUAGAAGAUGCAAAUGCAAAAGAACCAAAGACAUUUGCAGAAGCAUUUCAGAAUUCAGACUGGAGUAAAGCUAUGCAAGAGGAAAUUGCAGCAUUAAAACGAAAUCAGACUUGGGAGCUCGUGCCAAAGCCAAGAGAUGUAGAGCCUUUUUCCUGCAAAUGGGUUUAUAAGAUAAAACGUCGCACAGAUGGAUCAAUAGAAAGGCACAAGGCUCAUUUGGUAGCUCGAGGAUUCUCUCAACAAUAUGGACUAGACUAUGAUGAACGUUUAGUCCAGUUGCAAAACUUACAACUGUACGAGUCUUACUUGCACUUGCAGCUAACAAAGAUUGGGACUUGUGGCAGAUGGAUGUGAAGAAUGCAUUCUUGCAUGGAGAUUUGGAUCGAGAGAUCUAUAUGAAUCAACCGAUGGGCUUUCAGAGUCAAGGUCAUCCUGAAUAUGUAUGUAAGCUGCGGAAGGCACUCUACGGAUUGAAACAAGCACCCAGAGCAUGGUAUGGUAAGAUUGUUGAAUUUCUAACUCAAAGUGGGUAUUCAGUAACACCUGCAGAUUCUAGCUUGUUUGUCAAAGUUAAUGGAGGAAAGUUAGCUAUCGUACUUGUAUACGUAGAUGAUCUAAUCAUCACUGGAGAUGAUGUUGAAGAAAUUUUCCGAACAAAGGAGAACUUGUCAGUUCGUUUCGAGAUGAAAGAACUUGGACAACUUAAGCACUUUCUUGGGCUAGAGGUGGAUCGUACAAACGAAGGGAUAUUUCUCUGUCAACAAAAAUAUGCCAAAGAUUUGUUGAAAAAGUUCGGGAUGCUCGAAUGUAAGCCGAUCUCAACACCAAUGGAACCAAAUGCCAAGAUGUGUGAACACGAAGGCAAAGACUUGAAAGAUGCAACAAUGUAUCGACAAUUGGUGGGUAGUUUGCUUUACUUAACUUUAACUAGACCCGAUAUCUCUUAUGCAGUUGGUGUGAUGAGUCGAUACAUGCAAAAUCCAAAGAAGCCUCAUUUGGAAGCAGUUCGACGAAUUUUGAGACAUGUGAAGGGUACAAUUGAUUAUGGUCUGUUGUAUAAGAAAGGUGAAGAUUGCAAGCUAGUUGGCUACUGUGAUGCUGAUUAUGCAGGAGAUCACGACACCCGCAGAUCAACUACCGGAUAUGUGUUUAUGCUUGGAUCAGGAGCAAUUUCUUGGUGUAGCAAGAGACAACCGACAGUAUCUCUGUCAACAACGGAGGCAGAGUACCGAGCAGCAGCAAUGGCAGCUCAAGAAAGUACGUGGCUUAUACGGCUGAUGAAUGAUCUACAUCAACUAGUGGACUAUGCAGUUCCAUUGUACUGUGACAACCAGUCGACAGUUCGUUUGGCAGAGAAUCCAGUCUUUCAUGCAAGAACAAAACAUGUGGAAGUGCAUUAUCAUUUUAUUAGGGAAAAGAUCCUGGAAGAAGAGGUUGAGCUGAAGCAGAUUAAGUCAAAAGACCAAGUUGCAGACUUAUUCACAAAAGGUUUGAGUGGCAGCAAGUUUGAAAGCUUUUGUCAUCAGCUCGGUAUGGUAAAGAUUUUGGAAGCUGAUGUUGAGGGAGAGUGUUAAAGUUAUCAACAUCAGCAUGUGACUGAGAGGAUGUAUUGAACAAGUCAAGUUUGUUUUUGUGUCAAAAAUAUGCCUCUGUUUAGUUUUUCAAUAUAUUAGGAAUUGUCCGAGUCUUAGGGAGGUUGUUGCAACACGUUUAGAGUAACUGGUUAUCUUUCUAUUCCUAUUUUUUAGUAUUUCUAUUUCUGUUGAUGGUUUUGCCUAUAAAAGGCUUGUAUCAGGUGAAGUUUAAAUCAUCACCAUAUUAAUAAAAUUAUUUUCUUUCCUCCUCUGUGUGUCUCUUUUAUAAAGUGGGUUCAACACUUCUUUCAUUUUGAGUUAAAACGUAAGCUCAAAGAUGAUGAAGAUUCAUCCAUCUACAGUGUCGUUUAUGAAAUGAAGAGCAUAUACCCUAACCAUUUGCCAGAACGUGCCCCAAAGUACAUUAUUGCCUUUCGUGGCACAAUCCCCAAACCGAGGAGCACCGUGAGGCAGGACCUGAAGUUGAAUAUCAAGGUCUUAACUGAUGAACUUCACAUGGACAAGUCCCGCUUUAAACACGUGCUGGAAGCUGUCAAAAAGGUUGUUCAAGAAGCUGGGUCUGCAAAUAUUUGGUUAGCAGGGCAUUCCCUGGGGUCAGCCAUUGCGAUGCUGGUUGGAAAAUCCAUGGCCCAGAAGGGUAAGUAUCUCGAAACUUUCUUUUUCAAUCCACCUUUCUUGAGGUGAGUAUCACUAUAAAUAUUUUAGAUCAUAGGGGGGUGGGGAGUCAUGAGAUGAAAAUGGGUUUAUGAAGAUUAUAUGAUAGAAAUGUGAAGAAGAAUGGAAGAUACCCGACAGAGAAGAGACUCAUAGUUCAAGGUGUAGACACAAAAAGUGAAACAUAGGAUGUUUCAAGGCUUAAUAAUUAUAUAUUUAGUUUAUAUUCUUUGUAAUAUUCUCUAUAGUAUAAUAUAAUGAUAUCUCUCAUUUGUGGAUGUAGACAUGGCUAGUCAAACCAUGCAUGUUAAAAUCUCACAUACAUUUGUGUAUAAAUUGUUUAUCUUUGUAUUCCUCCAUUAACGUACAUAUUUGCAUUAAAUCCUUGGUUGUCAUAAUAAAGUGGUAUUAGAGCUUAUGUUCUUAGACCUAGACUCACAACACGAUUUAAGGUUGAGAAGUUUGAUAGAAAAAAUGAUUUUAGUUUAUGCCGCAUUAAGAUACGUGAUUCGUCCCUAGCAGUGGCAGUGGCAAUGGCACCAUUUGAUUCGGGGUUCGAUCCCCGGCAACGGCGCCAUUUGAUUCGUGCCCAAUUGGUGUCUCAGCUGAUUUGUGUCCAGCUGGUGCUCCUUGAUUGAGGGAGUAAUCAACAAAAUUUAUAACCUAUUACACCAUUUACUAGAGUAGCAAAGACAAAGCUACUAUAGCAUAGUGGCUCUAGGAUCGUUCACUGGGAUGGGUUUUCACUUCACAAUUGAUAUUAAUUCAAAGAUGAAUUGGUGCCUUUUCAUUUCAAGGUUAGCUUUAAAAGAAAACAUAAAGAUGUUUGAAAGAAAAGAAUUUGGUUUUAAACUAACCAAAAGUAGUAACUGAUUUUACUUAUAAAGAAAAGUGUUUCUUGGAGUUCAGAUCACUAGGCUCGUUCCUCAUACAAAAUGGAGAGUUCCGGUCACUUGUUUAUUUUCCUCGCAUUAGAGAAUUAACAUAUAGUUCCUUCUCCAACCGGUGUUGUACAGAUGCUUCCCAUUAAUGGGUUCAAACACUAAAUCCCUCUCACUGAUGCACCUUGCAAUGGCUCAUACCUCUCACCUAGCACUUGCCAUUCAAGAUGAUCUUUAACCUUGGACUUCCCGUCAAAAGCUCGCAAGAGAUAACUAAUGGAUGUCUCCUUGGAGUCCAAAAGCUUACCAAGUGUUGGCUAUUCUAGAAAAUCCUACCUUCAAGUCACCUCCCAAAGGCUCGCAAGGGGUAAACUAGUGCAUCUCCAUGGACGGAGAUCACUUGCCUUACCAAGUGUUGGCCCAGGUGAUUUAAAGGCAUUUUAAGUUAACUAAAAAGAUAAAAACCAUUAACGGGUUACACUUUCUCUUCAUUAAAAACUAAAACAACAAAACUUUCAAAUUAUGCAUGUGGAAACUUACCCGGCUUUCCUCACUCCAAGAGACAAAAGGCUUAGCCUCUCAUCCUCUGAGGAAAAAUCCUCAGAGUUUGGUUGGCUAGAAAAUGAAAAUGAAAUGAAAAAUGAAAGAGAAGGAAAAACAGAGCAAGGCUCUGUAUAUUCUAUAUAUGAUCAAUAUUACGGAUUACAUAUAUGGUCCUCCUCUCUCUUUUACAGUGGAUGCAAGGGAAUAUAUAUAGAGGAGUUUUUCCAACCUUCCUAGCUAAGAAAUCUUGUGGUUGGUGGCUUACAAGGAGAAGAAUGGAAAUUUAUACAAAAAUAUCUGAAGAAAAAUAUCCAAAAGAGUCGGUGCACAAAUAUCAGGAAGCACUAAGGACAUUUCGCAGGUGAAAAUGGUGUCUGCGAGAUUUCGCAGACACUCAAGAGGGCUGCGAAAUAUUUUCGCAGACACUCAAGAGGGCUGCGAAAUAUUUUCGCAACAACAAGUUAAACUCGCAGGGCUGCGAAAUUGGCUUCCACCUUGAGGUUCUCAGCGUUCCAGCUUGCGGCAUGUAUCGGGUAGCUUCAGGAGGAAUUCCAUAGCACUGUACAAAAAGGCUGCGAAAUUCUCGCAACAAAAGGCUGAUUUCGCAACACUUUGGAGUGAUCUGCUUGCAAUGGCUGUAACUCCUUCGUUUCAACUCCGAAUCGUUCACCGUUUGAAGCAUUGGAUUCUUGACUUCCUGAGCUUUGAAAUGGUAUAUAGAAUGUAGAAAAUGGACUUCGGGAAGUGCUCCAAAAGUGCGCAUGAAGACUGCAGCUGCUUGUCCUCUGUUUUCUUCACUCUGUUUUUCCUCUCUCCUUGCUUCUCUCCUUGCAUACUUUGAACGACUUUGGCAAAGGGCUAUGGAGCUCCAAAGCUUGGUUCUUCAUGAAUUUGAGCUCUUCAUUGCUUUGCCAUGAACUAUAUACAAUUCUCCCUCAUUCUUGGAUUGUUUUGGUGAUCAAAUUACUAACAAAAACACCAAAACUUACACAAUUUGAUUAGAAAUGAUUGCAAGGGUCCUUAACAUGUUAAUUGGGUUAAAAGGCAAUAACUACUACUCAAAAGUGUUUAAAAGAGUUAAUUACAAGCUAUCAAAUAGCACUUUUUGAGUAGUAAUCAAUACGUGUCUUGUUAGUUCAACAAGGAUUGUCCAAAGUGCUAAAAGGUAGAGAGGUUUUAUUAAUAACAAAAUCUUAUGAACAGAAUAAUGAACUUAUGGAGAAAAUGAACAAUAUUAUUCUAUUAUCUUUUGGUAAUGAGGUACUUAGAAUGUUAUAGAAGAUGAUACAAUUGUCAAGUUAUAGUAGAAGUUAGAAAGUCUAUAUAUGACUAGUUUCUUAUUAUUCACUUAUAUUUGAAGAAACAAUUGUUCACUCUCCAUAUGAAAGAAGGUACAUCCAUCAAAGACGACAUUUAUGAAUUUUAAUUAUAGAUUUGAGGAAUACUAAUAUUAGAAUUGAUGAUGAAAACUAAGCCAUAAUUUAAAUUGUUCUCUUCCAAAUUCUUAUGAGUACUUUGUGGAUAUCAUGAUGUAUGGUGAAAAUGCUAUCUCCAUAGAGCAUGUUAAGGCAGCCCAGAACUUAGAGAAGUUAAAGAAAAGGGCCUUUGAGAGUGGAGAAAAAGGCUUAGAUGAAGGUUUGGUGGCUAAAGGAGAAUAGAGAAGAAAAAUAUUGGCCAAAAUUUUUUAUUUAAAUCUAAAUCGAAGUUCAAGAAAUAACGAGUGUUUCAAUAACAACAAGAAAGAGCACUAUAUGAGAAAUUGUCCAAAACAUAAAAGAAAAGGAAAAGAGAAAGCUUGUAAUUUUGGCUAUGCAACAAUAAUUGUAGAAGAAAAUUUGGAUAUUGCAUAUGACAUUUUAGUUAUGGUUUCUGACUCAAGUGAAGAGUGGAUCCUUAACUCAAGUUGCUCCCAUCAUAUGCCUCGCAAUAGUGAUCAGUUUGGUGCCUACAAAUGUAUUGGUGGUGAAAAGAUUUUUAUGGGAAACUACAUAGCCUAUAAGGCUGUUGGGAUAGACACAAUUUAUAUUUAGAUGCAUGGUGGCUUUGUAAGGACAUUAAUUCAAGCAAGGCAUUUUCCAAAGUCAAAUAAAAUUUUGAUUUCUCUAGGGAUGCUUGACUCUAAUAGAUACACAUAUAAAUCCAAAAGUGGAGUUACUAGAAUCUCAAAGGGUGCACUUGUUGUGAUGAAAUGACAAAAAAAUUAAUGGUCUCUAUACAUUGUAGGAUAGCACGAUUACAAGUACAGUGGCAAUUUUAACCUCUAAAUUAAUUUUAAUGACUACUACAUAAUGGUAUAUGCGACUUAGGCAUAUGAAAAAGAGGGGUUGACAAUUUUGAGAAAACAGGGUUUGCUUAAUGGACAAAAAAUGGGAGGAUUUAGAUCUUUGUGAGCACUAUUUGUUUAGGAAACAAGGAAAUUUGGUUUUAUGCCCUGGUAUUGGGGAUAGUAAUAUCAAAUCAACCCAAUGGUUAUGCCCGAUGUAAGGAUUUGUUCUAACAAAAUGGCUAUGCCUUGGUAUGAGGAUUUAACCAUGACAAAAUGAUUAUGUCCUAAUGUGCUCCAAUAACUCCCAAUCAAUUGUUGUGCUCCAUGGGGACAAAUUUACAAUCUAUAAACUCAAUUAACCAAUCUCAAUAAUCAUCAACAUGGAGGCUAUGAAGCACGAUGUAUGAUGCAUGGCUUCACAAUGGUCUUAAGACUUAGGAUAAAGUGUUAACUAAGGAUAAGGAGAAAAGAAAAUAACAUAAACUAGGCUUAAAACCCCAAUAAGUGACCUUAUGCCUCUUACGUAUACAUAAUGUGUAAAAGAUAAGCAAACUCUAAGGUCAUAGAAUACACAAACACUCUCUAAUACAUUUCAUGAUUUUAUUUUAUUUUCUCUUUGCAUCUUUUUUUUUUUUCUUUUCCUUUCUUUCUUUUGUUUUUCUUUUAUAUCACAUCACUAAAUCAAGAAAAUAAAGCAUGGAAACUUAACAUAAAAUGGUACUACUAGUAUGACAAAAUAGGCGAAGCAUAUCAAUCUAAAAUAAAAAUGUCUCUCCCAACCAUGAUAAGGAAAUACUAAAAUAUGAACAAACCAUGGAGUCCACAACCAAGGAGGUUUUAUCGAUAUAUUAGUACAUAUAAAGAAGCCCAUCAAUCCUUAAGGUACAAAAAUAAGUGAAUUAAGGUGAUGAAAGAUAAGUGAUGCGAAAAGGCAAAAAGGCCUAAUUCACUAACAAGGGGCAACUCAAAAUGUAGGGUGUACAAUGAGGAGGGUGCAUAAAAUGAUGGUCACCCAUCCUUUGGCCACAACCUUAAAUAUAGUACUCUUAAGCUAAUCCACGUUAGUUUUAACAAUUGUUUUCCAUGUAUCUAAAUCCAUUAACCAUAUUGUCCUUUCUCAAGCCAUCUUCAUUAUUUCAUAAGGUCAUCCUAAGUCAGGAAAGCAAGCUCUAUGCAAGAGAAAAAUUCUUACAGCCUAGAUCGAACCUCAAUUGAGAAAGGGUGACCAAUUUCCAAUUGAUUGAGCUAGUUCAAGUCUUUCCUUGGUCAGUUGGACCUUUUAGGCACAAAAUCGAUCUUUUUCUUACUAAAAGCUUUCUAAUACUUAAGCAUUGUCUUUGUGAAACUAUGUACCUCAAUUAUAAAGGGUUUUGUCUAAAGGUUUUGAAUUUUAACUUAGUUUCAAGAGAGAUAAGAACAUUUAGUCUCACCUUUAUGAAAACUAAGUAUAGAGGAAUGCAUAAAAAAACAUGUUUAGAACCUAGAUUCACCCAAGAUAUUCAUCUUACAAAGGUUAUCCUAAUCUUAAAGGGCCUUCACGCAACCAAAGUUUCGCAUUUCUUGAAUUUCCUUGAGCAAGCAUGUCUUUUUAUUUUUUUUUUCUUUCUUGUUAUAUACUUGAAACUUAGCUUGAUUUAAAAUUAUUAAUGCACUUAACUAUGUUUUAUGAUCAUCAAAACUAAAUUAGGAAAACCCUUGGACUAACAUACUAUACUCUUAGAUUUCAUGUGGAAUUCAUCCGUUGAAAAUGAAAGUUCAUUAUAAAAGGUGAAUCUAACUUUUCAAAAGACAAAUUCAAUACAAAAAGUGAAUGCGUCUUCUAAAAAGACUGAGUUCAAUAUGAAUAGAAAACAAUUUAUCAAAAAACCCUACUAGUAGAACUACGUAAAUAUUUACAAGGUCAAAGUGUGUCCCUACAAAGUCAAGACAGCACAAUGAUGACAGCCUGAUUUAGUUGAACACGUGAUUGUGUUUAUAUAUAGUAUCACUUGAUACCAAUAUGAGUAUAUUUGUUUAUUUCCAUUUACGAAUUAUUCCUUGUAUCUAUGUUUGAAAUAUAUUAGGAAAAAAUAAUAGAGGAAAAGUGAAAGGAAAUGAAAUGAUAAGAAAAAAAAAAUUUGAGGUUCUUCGAGAAAAAAUUGAAAACUAAAAUAAAUAUGAAAAAUAAUAUUCAACAUCAAUACUUCAUAAUUAUCAUUACAAAAAUAUUUCUAAAUUUAUUUUCUUACUUUAAUUUACAAUUGAAAUUACUUAAAAUAAAAAUCAAGUUAAGCACAUAUUUAUUCCGAUGCACUCAUAUUUACUAAACAGAUAAAGUUUCCAUACCAUUCAUCCUCAAAUAAAUUAUCUUUAACAUAAUUCUUUAUUUUAAAUAAAACCCAGAACGGUGGGUCUGGAAAUGCCUCAUUUGAGGACGUUCUGUUCAUGAUGUUACAAACAUUACAACGGUUUCCUUUGUUUUUUCCCCCUUUUUCUUUUGGAGUUGGCAUUUAGUCAAACACACGAUGAACUGAAUUUAAAUUCCAAUUGAUAACAGCAAUCGAAAGCACAAAAAAUCUAUUGGUUUCAAUACACGAAAAUUUGUAUUGUAAGAUAUCCUAAAACUCUGCACAUUUCAUAAUCAAAACUAAAACACUGUCGGUGGUACGCAAUCCUGUACCAUGUCGUGUGACUCCAUGUUUUCUCAUAGAAAGGGUCCAUCAUUGCAUAAAGAUGGUCAUCUGGUAGCUUAAAGAGAUGCCAAUGUUAUAUCAUCUCACUAUACUCCACACAAAGAUUUAUAAAAAAUUGCAUAUGAAUCAACCAAUUAUACAAGAGAGUCAUAAAAUGUGCAGAAACUGUCGUGAUACGGAUCUUGGAACAUAAGUUAUUGUGUGUAAUAAUAAUUUUUGGAUUGCAUGUAUAUGAUCCUAGAAAACAAAAGGUUUUGAUGUUCUCAAAUAUUGGGUUUCUAGAGAAAUGAUCAUAGACUGAAAGUCUAGAUCAAAUGUCAGCAUGGAAAGAAAGUCACAUACCAUGCAGUCAUAACUCGUCCUGAAUGAGAUCCUCUUGUUUAAUUAUUAAACCAAUGGGAAAACUCAGUCUUUCAAGCUUAAGAAUGCCAAAACCUUAAAGAGAUUCAUGCUGUACAAUAUUAACAUAAAGUUUGACAAAUGUGUUUCUGAUAAGGCCGCUGCCGAUCUCUUUGAAGAGACAAAAACGUGAUCUCUGAAUGAUGUAUGGUAGAAAACACUCUUGAGAUAGCAAUUUACAGCAUAUACUAGAAAACUAUACCAUCAAAAUAUCAUGACUUGCUGGAAUAGGCCAGAGUGAGGAGUAGACUUAUCAGAUGGUGCCUGUUGAUGAACUUGCUUUCUGAAUCUGUUACACAACAUUGACUGAGAUGAAUAUAUGACAUAAAAGAACAAUAUGAAUAUGAAGGAAUAAUGGUGCUAGAGCAGAGUAUUAGACCUGAUUCACAAGCAGGUUUAUCUGCUCUCUAUACAUUUCUUUCAAGUCCACAAUAUCAACACGGAGUUCUUACAGCUGCACAAAUAUAACCACUUUCAAAUGUCGAGGCUUGAUAGAAAAGAAAAAACGCCAUUUUGAUUCCAUUGUUCACAUAGAAGGUAGAAGGUAGAAGGAAUUAAAAAAAUUUCUUUUUCUCUCUCUGCUCCACUUACGUUGUGAGCAUGUGAUUUCUUGAUUACCAAGCAUCCUGUUCCAUAAAACACACUUCGUCCCAUUUCAUCUGUAUAAAGUUUUACUUUAAGCUCCCAUGAACAGAUAAAACAAAGGAAAAGAAAUGAGAACUUAGGAAUCUCAUUACGGGAUGGGGUUGGAUUGGCUGUUGUAAGAUUCAGGAAGGUCGCUUUUAUUUUACCACAAUUUAUUGGCAAUUAGACAAAGCACAAAUUUUGGGAACUCUCUCCACCUUAGCCAUCCAACUCUCUUUCAAUAAUGAAUAUCCUCAUCAAUUUAACCCUCAUUUGUUGUACUCUCUCUCUCUCUCUCUCUCUCUCUCUCUCUCUCUCCUUGGCGGACUCCAUGCCCUAUAAAACAUCUAAAUUAUAUAUACAUACAAUAAAUAAUAAGCAUAAAUGAAAUUAUAACUUUCACAAAAUUAAUUUAGGUUAUCAAGCUUGCUUACAUGAAUCCCCUUAACCUCUUUACAUACAUGGAUUGUGUUUCUUUUAAUUCAUUAUAAGAAAAAAAAAUUAUAUUAAUUAUGAAGUGUUUUCGAAAUAAAAUAUAACAUAUUAUUCUAAUGUAGAUAAGAAGCUCUCCAUUGUCAUCCCUAUGUUGCACCUUAAGAGCAUUACUUCAAAAAAGACCUCAUAAAGAAUUCAUCAAAGUAAAACUAGAUAUACAAAAUAUUUCAUUAAGGAGACCAAUGAGUUGAAGCUAAAUAAAUAAAUUCGUACUCCAUCAACAAAAUACCUGAACUACAAUUUCAACUAACAUAUUAUACUUUCCCUAAAAUAAGGAAAAAAAUGUACUUAAAUUUUUUUUAAAAGUUUGAUUUUUUAUUCAACUACAUAUUGUAUUUUUAGUAUAAAUUAACAGUUAAAUUAAAUCUUUAAUAAGCUCAUAGACUCUAAGUGAAUAAAUAUGCAUUAAACGCUUAUUAAAGUGUAUAUAUGAGUUAGGGUUGCUCCGUAUGGACAUUUAAUGGUGAACUCUUAAAGCAUUCUUGAAUGCAAGAAUAAGUCCUAUAAUGCACAAUAAAAUAAAAUAAAAAAAACCAAGGUCCAAACACGAUGAAAACCAUCAUGGUAUCACCAUGUCAUAAUCAAAAUUUUAUUUUUAAUUUCUUAUAUUUUUAUUUAUUUAAGUAGUUUUUAUUUUUUUUUUCCAGUUCCUUUGAUUUUUGUUUAUUUUGAUAAUAAGAGGAGUUUGUAAUUUACUUAGAUGAGGUAUGAUAAAAAUCCUAAGAAGUAUAAACUUAUUUUUAUAUUUUAUUUCAACAAACCCAUGAAAUAUGACAUUGCUUGAUUUAAGAUAGCAUAAAAAUCUUAUGUAAUUAUAAAAGUAAAUAAUUAAAUUAUAAAGUUAUAGUACAAAUAGAAUUCUAUCUUAUUAGCACUUAAGCCCUUACUCCUAGUUGUCACAAUCAUUACCUUUUGCUCCUUGCUCUCAUAUAGAAUGAUAGCCUUGUUUUUUUUUUUUUUUCCCUAUAUCCUUGAUAGAAGACCGCUUUGUCUAAUAAGUGCAACUCAUUGCACUGAACAAUAUGAAGAUAUAUUAUUGAAAAAUAUUGAAAGUUGGAUCUCUUGUUUAUUAAUAUGAUAAACAAAUAUUUUAGAAAAGAUAGAAAAAUACAAACAUGUUGAGGAGAACACAAAUUUAUGAACCCAUAUAUAGAAUAGUCAAACUUUUGUAUUUCCCUACUGGUAUUAGUUGUGGUCGAUCAAUAAUAAGCCAUCUAGAGUAACUUUUAGCAAUAAUUUGAUUAAUAUUUAAUGCUUAAAACAAAUCAAGAACAAGGGAUAGCAAGAAGUCAAACCUUAACAUGCACCUCUUCUAUGUAGAGGCUACUAAUAGGCAAUGAAAGAGCAACUACUAUUAUGAUUUUAUAAUAGCUUAGGGGAUUUAGACUCAUUUAAAUUUUAAUAAGCUAAGUACACUAUGUAAUAUAAUCAUCAAUAAGAAAAAUACAACUUGCAUAAUGAAAAUAAUUAAGAAACCCAAUCAAAAUACUAAAUAUUAACCAAAUAUAUAUUCAACCUAAAAGUUCAAGAAGUAGUUGAGUGUUUUCUGAAAUAAAUGAUAGAGCAGUUAUGCAAUUUUAAUAAAUUUAUGCUAGAUCUAAGGAGAAAUUAAAAAAAUAAAUAUAUUGUGAUUUAGCCUUUGUGAUUCAACCUUGAGGAAUGAUAAAUUAGGAGCAGUAGAAUUAGAUCAAUCAGAAUAGAAUAGUCAUAGACAUUUCAAAAAUAAUAAAAAUAGUAACAAGAGUUUAAUUGUACUCACUUUUCAUCACAUACUUAGAUGGUGGAGUAGAACACUCUAUCCCUUGCUAUCUUUCACUAUUUCUCUCUCUCUCUCUCUCUCUCUCUCUCUCUCUCUCUCUUUCUCUCCAAGUUGGGAAGAGAAGAGUGAUCUAUAAAUAGAUAGAUGAAUAUAUUAAAAAAGAAAAAUUAUAAAUUAUAAUUAAUAAAUGAAAACAUGAAGAAGAGAGAUAAGAUGUUGUGACAGUGUCUAAUAUUUCUAUUAACAUUCAAUUAAAAUUACAAUUCAAGAUAGAGAAAACAUGGAAAAUCAUUCACUAACACUAUCAAAUUCCUAAGCCAAAAUUACUGUUAGUAUAGUUUAAGUUAGUAUUUUGAAUCUUUAAGGCCCAUUCAUCUCCUACAUCAUUAAAACAAGCCAAAUAAUUGUUGCAACCCCCAAAUUAAGAAAUAGAGAGAAACAUCAAUUUGUUAAAGUUAAUGGAAAUUUAAUUUGAAUUCUUCAUUAAUAAAAAUUAAAAAAAAAAUAUUCACGAGUGAUAUAUUUCCAAAUAUGAUAUAACAUCAAAAAUUAAAAGUGACAAAUCAUAAUACCCCAAAACAAUAAAAGGAUAAAUGAAACAUGACAUAAACAUUAACUAACCCAAAGUAAAUAUUCAACAAGAUGAAAAUUUACUUGAGCAAAAUUAUCAAGGACAAAGAAGGGGAAGGUAGUUGGGUUGAGAAUGGUGACCCUUUAUUAUACUAUGAAAGCAACAAUGAAUCAACUUCUUCACAAGCAUGAUGAUGUUCAGAAAAAAGCAUCUCAAGUUUUGACUUUAAAAUUUGAAAGAAAAGCAAUUAGCUAUGAACAUUAAGUUGGGUUUAAUCAUACUUAAUAUUAUAACUAUGAAAUUAUUAUAACUAAGGUAAUAGAACUUACUUUUUAUUUGGAGUUAGAUUUUUCCAACCUUAAUCUUUGGAAUGAGAAAAAAAUGGUGUUAGAAAUUAGAGGAGUUGAAACAAGGAGCAAAUUAUUCUCAAUAACUCUUACAGAACCUCAUAGGAGUAAAGUUUGAAGAAUGAAAGUUUUAAGAAAGGAUUUGGAUUAGUACAAUGUAAAGAUCCAGACACAUUCAAAGUUUUAAAGAAGAUUGGUCAAUUGAGUAAAUGUGAUUUAUAGUUAUUAGGUUAAUGCAAAUGAGCUAGUUGGGCACUUACUUGGUUGGGAAAGUGAUGAAAAGUAUGACUCCUAGUUGGGUAAUUACAUGGUUAUUUAGGAGAAAACUUAAUUUUAAAUAAAAUAAAUAAAUAAAUAGUUUUUGUGAGAUUUUAUAUGAAACUUGAGAAAUAGUAAGAAAAAGAAAAUAAAUAAUACAAAGGCAAUUUAAUUUUUUAUUAAGUUGGUUUCAAAGAUAUAAAGAAAAAUGAAAUAGAAUUUUUAUUAUUUUUUUGAGAAUUUAUACAAUUUUAGAGUAAGAAAAUUGGAGGAUUGUGGUAGAAAAAUAAGAAUUUAAUUUAAAUUUUUAUUAUAUUUUUCUUCCCUCCUUUAUUUUCGUUUUCAUGUUUUUUUUUCUCCUUAUACUUGGUUCAAAUUUUCUAUGAAUUAAAUCUAAGCAUAAAAGUUUUUUCGAUACAUACAUAUAUAUAUAUAUAUAUAUAUAUAUAGAUAAUAGUGAAGAAAUUUAAUAUUUUAAUCCUAAUAAAUUUAAUAUAAAGUUGAGUUAGAAAUUAUUGUAAAAAACUAAGAGACGAAAAGAAAAUAUUUAUUUACUUAACUAAUAACAUAAAUUUUAUAAUUUUCUUUUAAUAAGUUCAAUUGCUUUCCCUUUUGGUGCAAUUGUAAAUAGAAAAAACACGACAAUAGUUUACACAAUAUGUAAAAGAUAAUUAAUUAUUAGUACAAAUAUAUUUUAUGAACAAGGAAAUUAAUUUGAAAAUACAAGCAGCAAUCCAUCUAUAUCUGAAUUAGAAUUAUAAAAAAAAAAAAAUAGAACAAAGAAAGAGGAAAAAAUAAAAUAGACAAGCAUGAUGAAUAAAUGGAAACACAAUAUCAAAUAAUAAAUAAAUAAAUAGAAUAACAAAAUCAUUGAGAUGAAUUAGUAAGUAUUAUCUUUUUUAUUCUUAUAAAUAGGUGCUAAAAAAAUUUUCACUACCACAUACAAUAAUUAGUCAUGGAUGAUAGGAGGUCUUUUUGUUAUUUAUGCAACAAGAUUUCGAAACAAAACCAAUAUUGCACCUAUAACUUAAUUCAAAUGUUGCUUAGUAACAACAAACAACUGGAUGGUAGAAUUUGACUUUUUCAAUGAGAAAACACUUUCUCAAAUGGUAGGAAAUAAUUUUUAAUUACUAAAACCUCAAACUAAAAAGGAAAUAAAAAUUCUACUGCCCUAACAAUUAAUAACAAAGGAAAGGGGUGUGCACUUUCUUGAUUAUUUGUUUUCAUUUGUAGACAUGCUAUUUGUUUGUAACCACUAGCUCCACUUGUGAAAGAAAGUUUUUAUUUUUUAUUUUUAUUUUUUUUAAUUUCUCUUCUUUUUGUGUGUGAAAAAUCCAAAUUCAUCUUCUUCGAUAUGGAUCAAAGUCUGACUUUUAAGCAUAAAGAAGCACUACAAACACAUGCUAACCAACCUCAGUAAUCAACAUAUAUGUAAAAAUAAAUCUAUCACAAAAUCCUAAAAAGAUAACAAGGGAUGUGGAGAAAAGCAUAUAUAAAAGUAAAAAAGAAAUCUUCGCAUUUGAAAUUUUUCCUAAAGCAUGAAAACAACUUUUUUUUGGAUGGCAAAGAUCAUGAACACAUUUUAAGAAAAAUAUUAUUUGUAUUUUGGAUAGACAACAAAAUUUUGUGGUCUUUUCCUUUUAAAAUAACUUUCUUGUUUAAUAUAGGAAAAUAGAGAAUAACUAUAAAAGAAAAUGGUUUAUGAGUUUAUAGAAUUUAAAAUACAACAAUCCCAAAUAUAUCUAUCUGUAGAGUUUCAAGUAAAAAAUUAAGAAUUUAUAAGAAAAUCAAGAACUAUAAUUGAUAAUAUGAAAUAGGCUCAAACCCCAUAUUUAAGAUAAUAUGAAAUCAACAGAAUGGUAGGGUUUAUGUAAUUUGUUGUCCCUGGAUGCCAAGAAAACAAAUUGAAAUUUUGAAGAUAAGACCUCUUUCUAUCACUUGGGAACCAAUUCAACUAUAACUUUCCCUCAAUUGGACUAAUUCCAUAUACUUAAUUCAAAACAAGUAUUUAUCAUUUAGAAAGCAAGCCAUAUAGUUUAAAAAAUAAUAGUAAAUAGAAAGAGAUUAAGUCCUUACAUUUUGAGUUUGUUGGUAGGAAUAAUUGUUCUCAUACACAGCCAUGACACAUGCUUCUGCACGCAACCUAUCAUUCUCCUCAACUAAUAGCUCAUUCAUGGUUGUUAGAUUCUUAUUCACAACUUGGAGGCAUGAUGUCUCAUUUCUCUGUUUUUCCCUGCAUCUAUAGAAAUAAAGAAACAAAAUCAGCCCAAUUAGAAACUGUUAUAAGAGAAUUAGCAAAACCAUAAUAUUCUUUUUGUUGAACAAGAAGAUAGAAAGGAAAAGAAUUGAGAGUCUGAUCAAUGUUAGCUUUGCAUUAUCUAGUACUUGGAAAAUAAAAACCAUCCAUUAACAAAUCCUGUUAUGACUAUUAAUGGAUGACUUGAGAAAUUUAAAAGAUUCAAAAAUAAAUUUCUUUCCUUUCCCUCAAUUUUCUUGGCAGCCAAAUAGAGGGUAAAAGACACUCAAAUUUCUAUACAACUUUCUAAGAACAUUUCACUGAUGGAAAAUUAAAUAAAAUUUUGAAUCUCAAAUUUAUCAGUUAUUUAAGAAAGCCUACACUCGAUUGAGUUUUACAGAACCAUAUAUUAUAUAUAUUAUUUUCAUUCUUCAUUUCCAAAGACUAGAAUAAAACUUAAUUUUUUUCUUCUAAAUUUUCCUAGAUACCAAAUGAUAAAAGACACCCAAAAAUUCAAAUUCAAAGAUAUAUCUUCAUCACAAAGAUCAAACUAAAAUAAAUUCAAUAAACUGAUAUUCAAUAAAAGCAAAAACCCACAUCAAAUCACAAGAAAAAACUUGAUUUCAUAAACAUUCAGACUAAAUUCCAUCAAUAGCAUUCACCCAAACCUAAAAACAACAAAUCAACAAAAUAACACUCACCCAAACCCAAAUUCAAUGAAUGAAAGAAAGAUGUGAAAGAGGUUGGAAAACCAUAAUCAAAGGUGCUGGUGAAGUAAUGAUAAUCAAACAACAGAGAAAACAACAUUACACAUAAAAGAAAGAAAACAAAGGAAGAAAAGGACGAACCUUGCAACCCAAAGAUUAGAACCUGAAAAAGUCGAGGAAGCUUCGACAGCAAAUCUCUUGGAAAAACCAAGAACUCCUCACCUUAAAUCUUCUCAAACCCUCACAACUCCAAAAACCCUAACAUACAUAACUUCAAAAACUUGAUCUCGCAGAACUCCAAAAACUCUUAGUAGAAGAAUAAUGCAAUAUAACCAAUAGAAAUGAUUCCAAAAUUUUUGACAAAAGAUACAUAAAUAAAUUAAAGAUUCAGAGGAUCAAACCACAAUGAUGGCUAUUGUUGGCAUCAAUGAACUCUCCAUUUGGGUUCUUGGUAGUGGUAUUAGCUUAUGGAGGGCCAAUGAUGGAAACUGAGGAAGGUAAUGGCCGAUGAUGGAGUUUGAGAUGGUUAUUUAUUGGAUUCGUCCAGUUUAAUUUUUGGUGUGUGGGAUUCACGAAAACAAGGGUUUCAGAGUUUUUCAAGGAUGAUGUAUGAAGGUGAUGCUAGUGUUGUUACUGCACUUUCUCGGUGAAAAAUCAAUUGUAGCUUGCCAAUGAAGUCAUCAAACAACUUACCAGUGGAAGUUUCUGUGUGGGUAUCGAGUUGAGGGUGGAGUUUGUGGCUAUUGGUUAUUUUAUUUAAUGGGUGAAAAAGGGAUUAAAUAUAUAAUGAAAAGAAGAUGAUGCUUCCUAUAAGCGCCCAGGAUGACCAAACAUGCCUCAAUGAUGCUUCAAAAUGCACCAUUAUUUAGAAACGCCAUCAUCUCUCUCCAUAAAACGCCAAGAAUAUGCAUCCUGCCCCAAGCGCGAACAUUAACUAGUUAUAUUGAUAAACAAUGAUACUUUUUAGAAGCGACAUGAAAUCAAGCGUCAUUAAUUUGAUUUUUUUGUACUAGUGUACGAACCUCGUCAUUCUAUCAAAUGUCUCUCAUUCUUCUUCAUAUAUUUAUCUAACUAUCAUGUAUAAUCUUCACAAACCCAUUUCCUUCCUAUGUCUUUUCCCCCUCAUGACCUAGAAUAUUUAUAGAGAUACUCGUAAUAAAUAUUUUGAUUUUGUAAGGAGAUGUAAUAUUUCAAUGACAUAUCAAUAUGGAAAAUAUUAUCUACAAUAUUAUUCUUUAUAAAAAUAUAUAAGCACACACUAGUUAGGAAUUUAAGACAGUUUUGUAAGAAGGUAUAUGCCUAAAUCCAAUGUAACAUAAUGGCAAGAAACAUAGAAAGUUUGAAAUUGCACUAAUUAUUAGUUCACAUACCAUGAGCAGAACUAAAUUGCAGGAGACAUUAAAAUUUAAGAUUACAACUUGAAUAGUCUCGGCAAAAGGUUUCACCCUUUCACUUGGUAUCUAUUCUUUAUUUAUUAUAUCGGUUCAAGUACCCGAUUAUUCCAUCAAUACUCAAGGAGUGUGCUCAUGGUCCACCCAUGAGGACAGGAUCACUUAUCGAUUUCUUUCUUAAUAAAUCUGCAAAGGCUGGCCCUAGAGACAUGUGAUACCACCAUUGUCUUAGUCCAUGAGCCUCCAAAAUACUGCAUGAGGAUGAGCUCUCGCUAAUGGUUAGAUAUGCUUUAGGAAGUAGCUGUGUGGAUAGUUGUGGAUUCAUCCCAACUGCAGCUUUUAAUACACCCAAUGUUGGCUGCAGUACAGCAACCCUCCCUAUCAUCCCAGCUCCAAACUGCUUCUCCACAUUGUUCCUAUUUCUAAAAUGCCCUAUAUACUCUGAGCAAAUAGGAUCGUGUCGGUUCACAAACAGGUUGGGGAUCCAAGAAGACAAUGCAUUAAAUUGGUCAUAUUGGCCCUGCCUCACAUGACCACCUCCAACAAAUAAGGUCCCAAAAUUACACAAAGUCUCCGUCAAGCGCAUUGCAUCCUGCAAAUAUUGAUUGCCAAUAAUCUUCAAGAGGACAUUCCCCAAGAGAGGUGGAUUGAAAAGGAAAGCUUCCAUACAUUUACCCUCCUGGGCCAUGGAUUUUCCAACCAUCAUCGCAAUGGAUGACCCGAGGGAAUGUCCUGCUAACCAAAUAUUUGCAGACCCAGCUUCUUGAACAACUUGUUGGACAGCUUCCAGUGCGGGUUUAAAGCGGUGUCUGUCCAUGUGAAGUACAUCAGUCAAGACCUUGAUAUUCAACUUGAGAUCCCGUUUUGCGGUGCUCAGUUUGAGGAUUGUGCCACGAAAGGCGAUAACAUACUUUGGGGCGCAUUUUGGCAAAUGGUUAAGGUAUGUGUGCUUGAUUUCAUAAACGGCACCGUAGAUGGAUGAAUCUUUAUCAUCUACGAGCGCACGUUUUAACUGAAAAUGAAAGAAGUUCCACCAACGGGAAGACUGAACUUGGGGAUCUCGGGAUUCCUGGCUAUCAUAUUCUGAAUUGUAUGCUCCCUCAACCAGGCUCGCAACAACUGCCCGACGGUGAUGAUUAUUUGUCCUGCAAUAUUGAGGAAUAGUAAAUGAAUCCUCAUAAUAAAUCUACCCUUUCACAAAUACAGCAAUUAACUUAUCUAGAAAAUCUUGUCAAUGUUGAUCCUCAGGCAAUCUACAACACCUUCAAGAUGCAUGCUGAGGCAGAAUUCACCAUUUUCUUAUAAGAGUUUUAGGUCACAUUUAAAAACUAGUAAUAUUACCAUACUUUAGAUUGGUCUCUGUGUGUAACCAAGGACAAAAACCGAGCCUCACCGAUUCAGUCAUCCAAUUUUCUUUAAGCGUUUAGGUAAAGGGUCUCAUGGUUCGAUCCUGUAGGGACCCCUCCCCUUGGGAAACACGUGGCACGUGUUAUCAGCCGGACCAUCAUCAUCCGGAUUCCCCUAAGGAUAUGCAUGGUGCGGUUAUCCUAUCCGGACCACCUCAGGGAAAGGCAAACGACGUUUCAGCUUCUCCUAUCCAAGGAAGAGCAAACGACGCUGGCAGAGCGUAGACAUCCGGAUAGUCUCCACAACACAUCCGGAUAAUCAGCAUGAGUCAUCCGGAUAUAAAUCGUCUGGAUGGUCAAUUAAAGUAAAGCGAGUCUUACACGCAAUCACAACAAGCAGCCAUGGCCCACAUCCCAUCACCUGCAGAAUGAGAAGACAAGAGGAAGUGACAGCAAGUCACUUCCCACGAUCAUUCUACAUAAUCACUUCCCACGAUCUCUGACAGACGCAUCACCUACCAUGGUCUCUGACAGCCAUUCGUAGGAUGAUAGUGCUCCUACUGACACCUAUUAUCAUCAUCACAACAUAAAAUAUCUCCUCACCAUUAAUGAAAGGAGCAGUACCCCUGAAGCUGUAUAUAUAUGCCUUCACACGAAGAAGAAAGGGAUCCCCCUGGUGACCUCUUGAUACCUAGUAAAAGGCCAACUGAUUUAUAUAUCUCUCUCUCACCAUGGCUAACAAAACCAUCGGAGGGUGCGUCCGGACACCCUGUCCGGAUGCCUUUUUGCAGGUACAACCGCUGAAUCAAGAACCCUUUGUGUGUUGAGAAUCGCGUGUCCAUCCAUCUAGCAGCAACGUGGUCCACCUGAUACGCGAGGUGACAACAGAUCCCAUUGCUUAUUCUUAUGUAUAUAUUGAAAAAUGGAAAAACUUAUGCAUUAUGUGAAAUGAGUAUGCAUGUAGGAAAAUGGUUGUACCAGUCAACUUCAGUGAGCUGUUUGGGUCCUGUGAGGUCGAAAUGUCCCCUUUCAAUAGCCAUUUGUCUGUGUGUGCUUCCCUUUCAAGUUUCGAGAUAUAUGCUGCUGGGCACAUAGGAGGGGAAAAAAUCCAGAAAAUGAGUGGCAUACCAAGAUGAAAUCAUAGAGAAAAAAAUCCCGAAAAUGAAGGUUAAUCAUCAGAAACAAACUUAAAGGCACGAUGGAACCUCCAUGGGAAUAACAUCAAAACUUUUGAAUCAACACUUAGUCAUUCUUGGGAACCCACGUCAAUAAUGGAAAUCCAAAAAUUAUCUUUCUAUGUAUCAUAACAUUAGCAAUGAAUCUUUAUACACAUACACAUCAAUAUAUAGUAUCAAAAUAUUAGCAAAAAGUUCAUAUUUAGACGUUCUCACUCACAAAAAUCUGCAAACAUCACAACAUCAUAAUGAUAACAGUUCAUAGUAUACACCAACUGUAUCAAAAUGUUGGCGAAAAUCCAUACUUAAAGUAGCACCCAGAAGCUUCUGCAAAUAUCAUAAUAAGAAAAAAGAAGAGGAUCAAAACCUUACUCGUACCAAAUAUUUUGAAUCCAAAGGAAGCCUUGCAAAGCCUUCGAAUGAGGGGAGUUAUUUAUAAGCAUGCAAUGCAAUGCAUGCAAGCUGCUUACAAGAUUUAAAAGCCACGAGGGGAAUCUACCUAAAGCUGGUCAGUUGGAUGGAAAUAACGGUGAGAGACCAACUGAUAUGGGAGAGCCAUUGAAAUGGUGUCCUUUUAAUUCUCUAUGUCAUGUGGAAUAAAGCCGGCAAGACUAGCUUUAGAAAACGAUAACAUGUCCAUGGAAGAAAAUAAUGGUCCAAAAAUGCUGAAAAUGACCUCUAGUUAAUGAGACAAGGUCAAGUCAACAAUUUAGGAAGAUGGCAAGGAAUCCAAUAUUAAGCUUGCUCUACUUUUUAAAAUCCCUCCACUUAUAACACACCCAAAUGCAAAUUGGCUUCCUUUUUUUCCAUUUACUAGAAUGAAUUCUUAAAACAAAUCCAUGAGUGUUUCUCCUUGUAAGAAGAAGAAAACCUCUUAAAAGCAAUUAAAGAAACACCAUGACAUGAUUGAUCAACGUAAAAGAUACUUAAAAAUGCAUGUUUAUCUUUACAAUCUACAGAAUAUCAGAAAGUAUUCCCUCUCAUUCAACUCAAUUUGAUGAUACCCUCUCAAAUUCACAUUACAUUUAUCAUUGAACGUUAACAGUAUACAAAUAUCAUAAAUUUUUUAUAAGAAAAAGGAGGAAACAUGACACAUGAAUGCUUUAAAAAGAGAAGUAUUCCAAAAAUGACACUCAAAAUUAAUUCUCUAAAAAUACUCUUAUGCCCCAAAAGGGUUAUGAAAAGUAUAGUAAAAGGAAAAGUGAAAGGGAAGAAUGUUAAGGAGGAAAAAAAUAUAUAAAUUACAUUUUUAAAUAAUUUUGGUAAUAUUUUAUUUUGCUUAAUAUUUUUAUGAUAAAUUAAAUAGAGAAUUUGGGUUCUUUUGGCUAUGUUUGGUUCUCGAAAAAUUUGACAAUGGUAGAAUGCACAAAGAUAUAUGAACAAGAUGAGAAUGGUGUGAAUCAAAAAUGACCAGACAUCCUUUAUACUUGUCUAGAUUAAAUCUUACAAGCUUUGUAUGUAUUAACAACGAGUUAUUGGAUGAAAUUAAGAUCAUCUAGACCUCCUAUUUAUAUGCAAAGUGCUUCAUCAUUUAUCAUUAAUUGAUCUUCAUCUAAUAUUUCUGGUUUCCCAAAAUCUAGAUGGAGACCUUAAAUAAAUCCUAGCAUCUGUGGACUAGGUUUCUUUUUGGAUCCAUAUACCAAGUGUUACUUGUUGUCUAUAUAUUCUAUUUGACUUUUUUAAGUGUGUAGAUUAUUCAGCCAAGGGAACAACGUGCAAUCUAGAUUCAACCAAGGGAAAAACGUGCUAAGGCCCACUUAUUAAUAAGUCUAUAGGCAGUUAAGCCAAUGUUGAAUGGGUUAACCGCAUGAGAAGAUUUGGAGGUGAACUAUUCCAAUUUAAAAUAAUUUUUGGUUUCAUAUAUAUUUUGAGCAAAAAUUUUCAACUGCUCGAUCUUUUUGCAAUAAAGUAAGCAAUUUUCUACAAAUAUUUAAAUAGAGGGACUAGUUCAUCAAUGAAAUAUUUGGUUAAAAAAAAAUGUUCUUUGUUUCAUUAGAAAUGUCGUUUCCCCUCAGUGCCAAAUCAUUAAUUUUCCUCCCAAUUUUUUUUACCUAACUCCCUCUCUAAGUCUACGCUCUCUCAAGGGAUAAAAAUCAGCCUUUGAAUCUCAAAUAUUUUAUAAGAAAAAGGAGGAAACAUGACACAUGAAUGCCUUCGAAAGAGAAAUUUUUCAAAAAUGAUACUCAAAAUUAAUUCUCUGAAAAUGCUCUUAGGCCUGAAGGAUAAUGAAAAGUAGAAGGAAAAGUGAAAGAGAAGAAUGGUGAGGAAAAAAAAUGUAUUAAUUUGAAUUUUUAAAUAAUUUUGGUAAUAUUCUAUUUUUCUUCAUAUUAUUAUGAUAAACCAAAUAGGGAAUUUGGGUUCUUUAAGGUAUGUUUGGUUCUUGAAAAAUUUUGCACACCAUUGACAAUGGUAGAACGCAAAAGGUACAUGAACAAAAUGAGGAUGGUGUCGAUAAAAAAUGACCAGAUGUCCUUUAUACUUGUCUAGAUUAAACCUCCCAAACUUUAUAUGUUUUAACGAGUUGUUGGAUGAAAUUAAGAUCAGCUAGAACUCCUAGUUAUAUGGAAAGUGCCUCAGCCUAAUAUUUCUGGUUUCCCAAAAUCUAGAUAAAGACCUUAAAUAAAUUUUCGCUUCGUGUGGACUAGGUUUCUUCAUGUACCAAGUCUUACUACUUGUAUAUAUAUUCUAUUUGACUUUUGAGCGUGUAGACUAUUCAGCCAAGGGAACAACGUGCAAUCUAGCUAUCAUUCACCCAAAGGAAAAACGUGCUAGGACCCACUUAUUAACAAGUCUAUAGCAGCCAUUCUUGAAUGGCUUACUUGUUCCCUCAACCCCAUGAGAGGAUUCGGAUGUUUGAACUAUUGAAAUUUGAAAUUAUUUUUUGGUUUCAUAUAUAUUUUGAGUAAAAAUUUCCAAGAGCUCUUUUAGCAUUGAUUUUUAAACAAUUUUCAACUACUUAAAUUGAGGGACUGGUUCAUCAAUGAGCUUUUUUGCGGUUGCUUUUUUUUUUUUUUUAUGAUUUUUUGCAAUUUCAUUUAAACUCUUAUUUUACUUUACUUUUGGGCAUGCAGAUUGGGUUUGCUCUUGGAAAAUGAUAUAAUUUAGAAAUCAUUCAGCCUAGGGAACAACAUGCAAGACUAAUAUUUAUAUUGCAUUAAUUUCUAAGAAAUUUUCUCCAAGCAUUUAGAUAAAGAUUUAUGGGGUAGGAGCUUUGACAAACAUUGUUGUUGUACUUCUUCUUCUUCUUCUACUUUUCUACGUCUCAUUGACUCACGUAAACAAGCUUGACCGGAUACUUCCAUUUAACUCUUCCAUAAUCAAGAGGAUGCCUUCCUUUUCCACAGAUUAUCAUAAAUAACUCCUCUUGUUCAAAGGCUUUGAAAGCCUUCCUUUGGAUUCAAAGUAUUUGGUAAUGUUUUAUUCUCUUCUUUUUAGAUAUUAUAAUAUUUGCAGAAGUUUGUGGGUGCUCCUUCAGGCAUGGAUUUUUUUUAGAUAUUAUAAUAUACAGUUGGUGCUCCUUCAGGAUUCUUGUGCUACUUAAAGAUUCUUGUGCUAAUGAACUUGUUAUGAUAUUCACUGAUUUUAGUGGGUGAGCCUUGAAUAAACUUUUUUCCAACAUUCUGAUGCUGUAUUUGGCCUCUUUAUGUGUUUAAAGUGAACUGAUAUUAUUAUGAUGUUAUGAUGUUUGCAUAUUUUUGUGGGUGAACGUCUAGAUAUGAGUUUUCUCCAAAUCAAGGUAUUUCAUUAAUGUGGAUUCCCAAGAAUGAUAAAAAUGUUGAUUCAAAAUUCUGAUUUCUUUUCUUUUCCUACAUUCUUAGCCACCAAACAGAGGUAGAUGAGGUAAAUAUUUAACUACUUGGAGGAAAAUUAAGUCUGAGAUCUCACGCUCUUGCUGCAGACAGAAAGCAUCAAAUUAAGGCUUUGAAUGUUCUAGUACAAACAAAGCUUAAGCUUCAUGCCUUUAAGUUGGUAUCUGAUGAUUAACCUUCCAUUUUCUGGAUUUUUUUUUUCUCCUAUGUGCCCUGCAGGAUACAUAUAUUUCCUUUCAAGAAAGGAAGCAAGAGGGCAGUAUAAGUACACAAUCACUAAUGUCUGUUCAAAGGGAAGAUUUUGAACACACGGGACUGAAACAGCUCGCUGAUGUUGACUGGUACAACCAUUUUCCUACAUGCAAAAUUUCAAUAUAUAUAUUAGAGAAUAAGCAAUGGGAUCGAUCGAUGAGACCUUUACCUAAAAGUUUAAAGAAAAUUGGAUAACUGAAUCUGUGAGGCUUAGGAUUUGUGCUUGAUUAAUUACAUAUAGAAAUCGAUCUAAAGUGAAGUAAUAUUACGAGUUUUCUAAUAUGACCUAAAACUCCUAUAAGAAAAUGGUGAAUUCUGCCCGAGCAUGCAUCUUGAAGGUGUCUUAGCAUUGACAAGAUUUUCUAGAUGAAUUAACUGCUGUAUUUAUCAAAGGGUAGAUUAGAUAUGAGGAUUCAUUUAUCACUUCUCAUUGCAGGACAAAUGAUCAUCACCUCCGGGCAGUUGCUGCGAGCCUGGUUCAGGGAGCAUACAAUUUAGAAUUUGAUCGCCAGGAUUCCCAAGAUCCCCAAGGCCGUUGGUGGCACCUCUUUCAUUUUGAGUUAAAAGAUAAGCUCAUAGAUGAUAAAGAUUCGUCCAUCUACGGUGUCGUGUAUGAAAUCAAGCGCACAUACCCUAACCAUUUGCCAAAAUCUACCCCAAAGUUUGUUAUUGCCUUUCGUGGCACAAUCCUCAGCACCAAGAGCCGGGACAUGAAGUUGAAUAUGAAGGUCUUCGCUGGUAAACUUCACAAGGACAAGCCCCGCUUUAAACACGCGCUGGAAGCUGUCAAAGCAGUUGUUCGAGAAGCCUGGCCUGCAAAUAUUUGGUUAGUAGGCCAUUCCCUGGGGGCAGCCAUUGCGAUGCUGGUUGGAAAAUCCAUGGCCCAGGAGGGUAAGAAUCUCACAACUUUCCUUUUUAAUCCACCUUUCUUGAGGUAUUCCCUCUCAAAGAUUAUCAAAAAUCCAACUUUAAAGGAUGGAAUCCUCUCGACAAAGAAUGUUAUCAAAGCUGGGAUCUCUUUUGUUGGGGGUGAUCAUCUGUGGCAGGAACUAUAUGACCAAUUUAAUGCAUUGUCUUAUUGGAUCCCCAACCUGUUUGUGAACCAAGACGAUCCUCUUUGCUCAGGGUAUAUAGACCAUUUUAGAAAUAGGAAGAUCGAAGAUGAGAUACUUUCAAUAAGGAGUGCAAUAAAAGCUGCAUUUGUGAAGGAUCCACAACUACCCAUAUAUCUACUUCCUAAGGCAUAUCUAACUAUUAGCAAGAUCUCAUCCUCAACUCUUCAAGCUCAUGGACUAAAACAAUGGUGGUACCAAAUGUCUAUAGGGCCAGGCUUUGCAAAUUCAUCAACAAAGGUAUUGAUAGAUGAUGCCAUCCUCGUGGGUGAACCCUGAGCACACUCCAAGUAUUGAUGGAUUAAUCGUGUACUUUAACCAUAUAAUCCAUAAAGUAACAGAUGCCAAGUGAAAGGGUGCAACCUUUUACCUAGUCUAUUCAAGCUGUUGAAACCUUUGAUUUAUUGUCUCAUGCAUAAAUUUAGUUCUGCUCAUGGUAUGUGAACUAAUAAUUAGUGCAAUUUCAAACUUUUACUUUUCUUGCAAUUGUAUACGUAUAUACAUGUUGGAAAAUGUUUGAAGUUCCUAAUUGGUAUAUGUUUAUGUAUAUUUUUUUGUUCCUAAUUAGUAUAUGUUUGCAAAGAAUAAUAUUGUAGAGAUUUUUUUUUAUAUUAAUAUGUCAUUGUCGUAUUAGAUUUCUUUAUAGAAUCAAAAAAUUUAUCAAAAGUAUCACUAUAAAUAUUUUAGGUCGUGAGGGGAAAAAGUCAUGAGAUGGAAAUAGGUUUAUGAAGAUUAUACAUAGUAAAUAGAGAUAUAAAGAAGAAUGAGUGACACCCUGUGAAAUGAGGAGACACAUAGUUCAUUAUGUAGAUGCAAGAAGUGAAACAUGGGAUGUUUUGGGGUUUAAUAGUUAUAUCUAGUUAUGUCAUCUGUAAUAUUCUUUAUAAUACAAUGGAAUAAUCUCUCUAAUUCAUGGAUGUAGACAUAGCUAGUCAAACUAUGCACAUUAAAAUCUCAUGUGUAUUUGUGUAUGAAUUGUUUAUCUUGGUUAAUCAAACCAUGCAUGUUAAAAUCUCACAUAUAUUUGUGUAUGAAUUGUUUGUCUUUGUAUUCUUCCAUUAACAUAUUUGCAUUAAAGCUUUGAUUAUAUUGUCAUAACAAAGCGAUAUUAGAGCUUAUUUCUUAGACCUAGAAUAACAACAAAAUUUAAGGUUGAGAAAUUUAAUUGAAAAAACAAUUUCAAUUUAUGUCACAUUAAGAUACAUGCCUUGUUAGUUCAAUAAGGAUUAUUCAAAGUGCUAAAAGGUAGAGAGGUUUUAUCAACAACAACGUCUGAUGAAGAGAAUAAUGAACUUAUGGAGAAAAUGCACAAUGCUAUUCUAUUAUGCUUGGGUAAUGAGGUACUUGGAAAGUUACAGUUGAAGUUAGAAAGUCUAUACAUGACUAAGUCUCUUAUAAUUCACUUAUAUUUGAAGAAGUUGGUGUUCACUCCCCAAAUGAAAGAAGGUACAUCCAUCAAAGACCACAUUUAUGAAUUUUAAUUAUAGAUUUGAGGAAUACUGAUGUUAGAAUUGAUGAUGAAAAAACUAAGUCAUAAUUUUAAAGUGUUCCCUACCAAAUUCUUAUGAGCACUUUGUGGAUAUCAUGAUGUAUGGUAAAAAUUCGCUCUCUACAUAAAGGAUGUUAAGGUCGCCCGGAACUUAGAGAAGUUAAAAAAAUCGUCUUUGAGAGUGGAGAAAAAAGCUUAUGUAAAGGUUUAGUGGCUAAAGAGAGAAUAUGGAAGAAAAAUAAUGGCAAAAAAGUUUGAUCUUAAUCUAAAUCAAAGUUCAAGAUAAAUAACAAGUGUUCAAUAACAAUAAGAAAGAGCACUAUGUGAGAAAUUGUUCGGAACAUAAAAGAAAAUGAAGAAAGAAAGCUUGUAAUUUUGGUUAUGCAAUAAUUGUAGAAGAAAAUUUGAAUAUUGCAUAUGUCAUUUCAGUUAUGGUUAGUAACUCAAGUGAUGAGCGGAUCCCCAACUCAAGGUGUUAUUAUCAUAUGCCUCCCAAUAAGGAUUAGUUUGGUGCCUACAAACUUACAAAUGGUGAAAAUAUUCUUAUGGGAAACAAUGUAGCUUAUUAGGCUGUCAGGACAAAUAUAAUUCAAAUUAAGAUGCAUGGUGGCAUUGUAAGGACAUUAAUUUAUGUAAGGCAUGUUUCAGAGUUUAAUAAAAAAUUUAUUUCUCUAGGAAUGCUUGACUCUAAUUGAUACACAAAUAAAUCCAGGAGUAGAGUUAUUAGAAUCUCAAAGGGUGCUCUUAAUGUGAUAAAAUGACAAAAAAUUAAUGAUCUUUAUACAUUGUAGGAUAGCACGGUUACAAGUACAGUUGCCAUUUUAACCUCUAAAUUAAUUUCAAAGACUACUAGAUUAUGGAUAUGCCACUUGGGCAUAUGAAAAAUGGGGGUUGGCAACUUUGAGCAAACGAGGUUUGCUUAAUGAAUAGAAAAUGGGACAACUAGAUUUUUGUGAGAAUUAUGUGUUUGGGAAACAAUGAAUUUAGGUUAUAUGCCCUAGUAUUAAUUAGGGAUGCUAAUAUCAUAUCAACCUAACGAUUAUGCCCCAUGUAAUGAUUUGAUCUAACAAAAUGGUUAUGCCUUGGUAUGAGGAUCUAAGCAUAACAAAAUGAUUAUGCCCUAAUGUGCUCUAAUAACUCCCAAUGAAUUGUUGUGCUCCAUUUGGGCAAAAUUUAUAUUUUAUAAACUCAAACCAAUCUAAGUAACAUCAACAUGGGGGCUAUGAAGCAUGAUGUAUGAUGCCAUUGCUUCACAAUGAUCUUAAGACUUAGGAUGAAAUGUUAACUAAGGAUAAGAGGAAAAGAAAAUAAUAGAAACUAGGCUUAAAACCCCAAUAAGCAACCUCAUGCGUCUUACGUAUACAUAACGUGUAAAAGAUAAGCAAACUCUAAGGUCAUACAAUACACAAACACUCCCCGAUACACUUCAUGAUAUACUUUUCUUUUUUUCUUUGUUUUUUCUUUUUCUUUUUGUUUUCUUUCUUCUUCUUCUUCUUUUUUUCCUUUCUUCUUUUUUCUUUUGUAUCACAUCACUAAAUUAAGAAAAUAAAGCACAAAAACUUAAAAUAGAAUGGUACUACUAGUAUGACAAAAUAGGUGAAGCAUAUCAAUCUAAAAUAAAAGUGUAUCACCCAACCAUGAGAAGGAAAUACUAAAAUAUGAACAAACCAUGGAGUCCACAACCAAGGAGGUCUCACCUAUAUAUGAGUACACAUAAAAAAGCCCCUUAAUCCCUAAGGUACAAAAAUAAGUGAAUUAAGGUGAUGAAAAAUAGAUUGUGUGAAAAGGCUUAAUUGGCUAGCAAGGGGCAACUCAAAAUAUGGGGUGUACCAUGAGGAGAGUGCAUGAAAUGAUGGUCACCCCAUCUUUUGACCACAACCUUAAACAUAGUACUCUUAAGUUAAUCAACAUUGGUUAGUUCUAACAAUCGUUUUCCAUCUAAAUCCAUUAAUCAUAUUGUCCUUCGUCAAGCCAUGCAUCUUCAUUAUCACAUAAGGUUGCCCUAAAUACUUUGUUUGCAACUAAAGAGCUUAUACUAAACUACAUUCAACUAACGUCAAGCCAUCUCCUUCUUAACAUAUAGGCUCCAUUUUAGGUUCAUUCUCCUCAAUUGUUGCUUAAACAGCUUGCCAUUAGGUAAAAGAGGAUAGGAGGUGUUGUGUAAUUCUUGGGUGGAUAAGCUAAAGUGCUAUGCAAAGAUAUCCACAACCUUCAACAAUCCACUCAUUGAGUAGUGUAUUUAAUUCUUGUCUCUAAGCAUAGAGGGGCCCUAAAAAAGAGUGCUAGCAUUCCGGAUAAAAGUUUGAGUUCUCAUGGGAGUGAUCAUCAUGUGAAAACACUGAUUAUUGCAUCAAUAUAAAUCUAACAUUUUGCUCUAUAUUUUACUAGAAUACUUUACAUACUCUCCUUUAUAAGGCUUUUUUGCACAAAUAAUAUAGUUUUUUAAAAUAUUUAAAAAAUUGUUCUGUCAAAAAUAAUUCUAAAACUAUUGUGUAAAACACAACUAAUUAAAUUAAGCAAAAUAUUCAAAAGGUGGUUGAAUUAGGUUUUUAAAACUUUUUCAAAAAGCAUACUUAAGUAAAUCAAUGAAGUACAAUGAAUAUAAAGAAAUAUAAAUAAAGAUAGAAAGAUACAAACUCGAUUUUUAUAAUGGUUCGACAAUUCCUACCUAUGUCCACUCUCCUCAAACUCCUUCCGAGUAAAGGUUCCACUAGAUCAAGGCUUCAAAACCAAGCUUCAAACUCUUACACUAAAUUUACCUACUCUAAUGGGCACAUAAAAAUUUCUUCAAGUUCAAAACCAACUUAAAGCUUUUAAACACUUGAACUUUCUCUAAUAAAUAGAUGUUUAAUCUCACUCAACCUAGCACAAUUAAUGCUUGAAUAAAAGAGGAGUUAGGUUGAAUACAAAAAGGUACACUAGAGGAGAUUUGCAAGUAAGUAAUCAAUACACAAAGAUUUGAGAGCUUUGAAAAAGAGAAAAUGGUAGAUAAGGAAUUCAAUGCAAAUGUUUUCUUAUCAAUAAAUGCAUAAAAGUUCCUUAUUUAUAGGUUUCUAACCUCGAAUACCCAAAAAAACAAAAACUAGCCUUGACUGACCACGUCAAGCUCCAAUUUCACUUGUUCAUUAGUUGUUAGUGUGAAACCAAGGUUUGGUUAAUCUUGAUUUUGAUGAUAACAAAACAAGGUUUAGAACUAAUGAUCAUAUUUCAAGUGUGAUUAGGCAAGACGAUUUCCAAAGUGGCAAUCACAAAGACAAAUCAAGCCAAAGAGAAAUCAUGAAGAAGAAGACCACCUCAAAGAGAAGAGUUUUUCAAGACCAAAGCUUCAUAAGAUCUCUUUGUAAGGUUGUUGGUGCACUAGGACUUUCUUGCAUUUCAUUCUUUAUUUAUGCACCAAAAUCAUCCAAGAGUAAUAUUGUUGUAAAUAUCUUAAGAAUUGGAUGAUUUCAUGUUUUCAACCAAUACCUUGUGUUAAAUGAUUUUCAAACUUGUGUUAAAAGGUUUUAAGUUGAAAAAGGUUGGGUGUUGAGCCAAAAAAUGGCUCAAUCGGUUCAACCGGUCGAGGACUGGUUGAGGGAGGCCAAAAAGUUUCUCUCUCUCCCAGUGGCCUUCUCUUCCCGGUCAAGGUUGAACCUCAACCGUUUGAGGUCCGGUCGAGGUCUGGUUGAGGUCCGGUUGAGGCCCAACAGUCAUUUUCCAAGCAUUAAGUGCUAACGGCUAGUCAACCAGUUGAACCCCCAACGGCUAGUUUGGCUUUUUUCUUCUAUAAAAAGGCUCCAAUCUUCAUUGUUUCAUGAGCUUAACCUUCCAAAAUCAUUCUUGAUUAUAUUUGAGCCUUGGAAGAGUGUUUUUUUAGUGCACCGUUGUUUCAUAACUUGCAUAUCUUUAGUGCACCAUUCAAUCCUAGUUCUUCUUGUAUCUUUAAGCUUAAAAGUUCUUGUAUUAGGAUUUUGUGAGAUCCAAUCUUUGUAUUUCUUUGAGAGAAAUUUUCUCAAGUGAGAGUAUCACUUGAGAGGUUGUUCAAGAGUAGGAUAACUCUUGAGAAGUGUAAAGGGUGCUUGGAGCCAAAAGUCCAAGAGGGUGAACCAUAAUCCAAUUGUAAAGAGAUUGGAAGCUUGGUUGAAGCUUCAAGAUAGUGGAACCCUCACUCGGUUAGGUGGUUGAGGAGAGUGAACGUAGGCAAGAAAGUACCAAACCACUAUAAACUCUCGUGUUUGCACUCUCUCUUCCCUAACUCUUUUAAAUUAUAUGCAAUUGUAUUUAUUUUGUUUAUUAUAUACUUGCAUAUAAUUGUCUCUUAUUUUUGCAUAGUUUAAAUUUGUGAAAAAUAGAUCACCACCCUAUUCACCCCCCCCCCCCCCCCCCCCCCUCUAGGGUGAUUACCAUAAGUUGGAUUACCCUCAAAUUCCUAACAGUUAGGUAAUAAACACACAAUAGGUGACCAUUUGUCAUUUUUAAAGUUCGACUGAACCUUGACCGAGAAAAUGGUAGCCUAGAUCUAGAAUACAAGCUCUAUAAAAGAGAGAGAAAAAUUCUUACACCUUGGACCAAACCUCAACUAGGAAAUGGUGACCCAUUCCUAACUGAUCAAGCCAAUUUAGGUCUUCCCUUAAUCGGUUGGAACUUUUAGGCUCAAAAUCAAUCUUUUUAUUUCCAAAGGCUUUCUAACACUUAGAUAUUGUCUUUAGGAAACUAUGUAGCUCAAUUAUAAAGGGUUUUGUCUAAGGUUUUUUAAUUUUAACUUAGUUUCAAGAGAGAUAAGAAUAAUUAGGCUCAACUUUAUGAAAACUAAGUAUAGAGAAAUGCAUAAAAAUAAAAUAAAAAUAAAAAUAAAAACAUGUUUAGAACCUAGGUACACCCAAGAUAUUCGUUUUACAAAGGUUAUCCUAGUCUUGAAGGAUCUUCACACAUCCAAAGCUUCACAUUUCUUGAAUUUCCUUGAGCAAGCAUGUCCUUUUUUUUAUUUUUAAGUUAUAUACUAGCUUGAUUUAAAAUGAUUAGUGCACUUAACUAUAUUUUGUUCUCAUCAAAACUAAAUUAGGAAAACUCUCAAGCUAACAUACCAUAUUUUUGGAUUUCAUGUGUAAGUCAUCUUUUGAAAAUACAAGUUUAUUGUAAAAGGUGAAUUCAUCUUUUCAAAAGACAAAUUCAAUAUAAAAAGUGAAUGCAUCUUCUGAAAACAUGAGUUCAAUAUGAAUAUAAAACAAUCGAUCAAAAAAUCCCACUGAGUGCAAUUAUCUAAAGAUUUUAGGAGGUCAAAGUGUGCCCCUACAAAGUAAAGACAUCACAAGGAUGGCAUCUUGAUUCAAUUGAACAUAUGAUUGUGUUUAUGUACAAUAUCACUUACAUAUGAUUUCAAUUGUGUAUAGCAUUACUUCAUACCAAUACAAGUAUCUUUGUUUAUUUCCAUUUGUGUAUUAUUCCUUAAGGCUAUUUUUGGUUCUUCAAGAAUACAAAGAAGAGAAAAUAGAGAGGAAAAGUGGAAGGAAAUGAAAUAAUAAAAAAUCAAAAAAAUAAAUAAAAUAAGGUUCUUAGAGAAAAAAAUUGAAAAUUAAAACAAAUAUGAAAAACGAUAUUCAACAUCAAUACUUCAUAAUUAUCAUUACAAUAAUAUUUCUAAAUUUAUUUCUUUACUUUAAUUUACAAUUGAAAUUACUUUUUUUAAAAAAAUCAAGUGAAGCACAUAUUUACUCUGAUGCACUCAUAUUUACUAAACAAAAUUAAAAUGCAAAUAAAGUUUUCAUACCAUUCAUCCUCAAACAACUUAUCUUUAACAUAAUUCUUCAUUUUAAAUAAAACCCACAACGGUGGGUCUGGAAAUGCUUCAUUUUAAAUCCAUUGGUUUCAAUACACGAAAAUUUGUAUUGUAAGAUAUCCUAAAAAUCUGCACAUUUCAAAAUCAAAACUAAAACACUACACUAUUGGUGGCACCCAAUCUUCAUGUUUUCUCAUAGAAACGGUCUUAUCAUUGCAUAAAAAUGGUCAUCUGGUAGCUCAAAGAGGUGCCAAUGUUAUCAUACUUGAAUAUCCCCAUCCAAGUAUAUCAUCUCGCUAUACACCACAAACUGAUUCAUAAAAAAUUGCAUAUGAAUCAACCAAUUAUACAAGAGACAGUAGCAAAAUCAUAAAAAAUAGUGACAAAAAGUUAUGAUAAAACUGUCGUGAGAGGGAGCUUGGAACAUAAGUUAUUGUGUGUAAUAAUAAUUUUUGGAUUGCAUGUAUAUGAUCCUAGAAAACAAAAGGUUUUGAUGUUCUCAAAUAUUGGGUUUCUAGAGAAAGGAUCAUAGACUGAAAGUCUAGAUCAAAUGUCAGCAUGGAAAGAAAGUCACAUACCAUGCAGUCAUAACUCGUCCUGAAUGAGAUCUUCUUGUUUAAUUAUUAAACCAAUGGGAAAACUCAGUCUUUCAAGCUUAAGAAUGCCAAAACCUUAAAGAGAUUCAUGCUAUACAAUAUUAUAGUACAACAUAAAGUUUGACAAAUGUGUUUCUGAUAAGGCCGCUGCCGAUCUCUUUGAAGAGGAAAAAAGGCGAUCUCUGAAUGAUGUAUGGUAGAAAACACUCUUGAGAUAGCAAUUUACAGCAUAUACUAGAAAAGUAUACCAUCAAAAUAUCAUGACUUGCUGGAAUAGGCCAGAGUGAGGAGUAGACUUAUCAGAUGGUGACUGUUGAUGAACUUGCUU